ACAAAAACUUAAAUCGAGAUUUCUAUAAGUUUAUUGAGUUGUGUAGUCCAGCCAAAAUCAGUCUGUAUAAUUUAUUAUAAUUUUCCAUAUCUUAGUAGCAGAAGGUUUUGGCACAUGAAAGUACAUUGUAUCCAUCAUUUCCGUAGCAUUCACCAUUCGCAACAGCACCAUAUGGAACGGUCGCAAUGACUUUUUUCAAAGUUGUAACCACGCCACUCACAGCUAAGCUUGCACAUAGCAACAUUGUUGGGCGUUGGUAUCUGGCAUGCUCGGAAAGGAGUACACGAAGUCCACAAUCCAGUUGUACCUACAAACAACAAGGUUAUAUAGCAUCCCCGUUCAUAUUAGCAUAUGUAGUAUAAGUUGCAUGAGUUUAGAUUAUAUGAAUAUCCAAGGUACAUCAUACAGAAUUGGACUAUUGUAAACAUAAACAAAGAGUGUACCUUUGUUUCUCGUAGUUGCUUGACAUGACCAUAAAGUGCUAGACAUCAUCAGAAGAACUACGAAACAUAUAGCCUAUGUGUUGUUCUUGAUAGGUGCCAUGAGGAGUGGUUUCUUAUUCCUUUUUCCUCCUAUACCUGUAUUCUUUAUGGGCGAUAUCUCUCAACCUAUAUUUCUUAUCGUGUUAUUUAUUAGAGGCAUAAAUCUCGAAGGACCCAUUCUUGCUCUUCUAUUAUUUCUCACAUUUAUGUUUUGAUCAUCAUGUGUUUAUAUAUAGUCACUUGAUGUCCGCAAGGUCACUAUAGCAUUUAGAUAUGAUAUACCAAAAUAUAUCUUGUGGAGAACAUGUUACUAAAUGCAACCUAGAUUUUGAUAUUUGAAAUUAAUCACUACUCUGAAAUACCAUACAUAUAGCACAUUAAGUUGUGCCCCCGCAAAAAAAGCAUAUUAAAUAUGUAUCUUCAGUAGUAGUUGUUCUAUCAUGUAGCAUAGUAGACCCAUGUAAGAAAAACAUAUCGGAUAAUAAUCACAACAUUAUUUCUUUAGGAUUCCACAACAUUAAACAAUUAUAUUAUGUCUUUAGCACUCAAUGUAACAAGCAGAAAAGGUCACCCGAAAAUAUUUAGAAAUAAGCCUGUAGACAACCUCUACUGCCGGGUUUUGCAUGCACGCAGUUUGCAAAAGGGACACGAAAGAAAGUUGACCCCUUUUUCUUUGAGCAAAAAAAAAGUUGACCCUUGUCUUGUGGGCAGAGAUAGGCCCAGACACACAAGGCCGCAACACGGGGCUUGAUUAUAUUUACGGCAGAUAUGUUCACUAGCCCAUCAACUUGCCUUUCCUUCGCUUCGAGGUUUUCUUAGUGGGAAUUCCCUAUUUGCCGCUCGUUGCGUCGAACUGUCGAUGCAACGCACAGAGCUGGCGAUCAAAGCGCUCACGUGGGCCGUCCCGAUAAUCAAUUGGGGCACUUUCUGGUUUCAGAACCUUCUAGAGUUUCCUAGCCGAGGUUUUCUGGUUUUGGAAAACUUCUAGAAAGGUUCCUUGAACGUAUUUUUUUUGUCGAUUUUUCUGUUUCUAUUUUUUUCUUUUUUAUUUCUUUUCAUUUCCUUUUCUAUUCCUUUCUUUCGUUUCCUUUACAUUUCAAGUCCAUUUUUUUAAAACAAAUCAGGUUUCAAAUUUUGUUCAGAAACUGAAAAAAAUGAUCAUACUUUUACAAUAUUUUCAAUUUUGUAAAAAAGUUCGUGCUUUCAAAAAUUGUUCGUAAAUUCAAAUAAUGUUCGCAUUUUCAAAAAAUUGUACGGACAUUUCAAAAAGUGUUCUCAUAUUCCAUGAAUUGUUCAGAAUGUUUUUUUUUUUCAUUUUUUGGAACUUUUCAAAUAAUGACUGGGAUUUAAAAAAAUGUUUAUCUUUUCAAAAAUUGUUCUUGUUUCCAAAUUUUGUUGACGUAUUCAAAAAAUGUUCAUGUUUCAAAUGACCUGUGCCACCCAAUUCGGAUUGGGCUUGAGGGGUCGCGCCCCCUCCUAUGCCUCCCUCUCUUCUCUCCCACUAUGGCCCAAUAAGGCCCAUAUACCUCCCGGGGGGUUCCGGUAACCUCCCGGUACUCCAGUAUAUGCCCGAACUCACCCAGAACCAUUCUGGCGUCCAAAUAUAGUCGUCCAAUAUAUCGAUAUUUAUGUCUCGACCAUUUCGAGGAUCCUCGUCAUGUCCGUGAUCAUAUCCGGGACUCCGAACUACCUUCGGUACAUCAAAACACAUAAACUCAUAAUACCGAUCGUCACCGAACAUUAAGCGUGCGGAUCCUACGGGUUCGAGAACUAUGUCGACAUGACCGAGACAUGUCUCCGGCCAAUUACCAAUAGCGGAACCUAGAUGCUCAUAUUGGCUCCCACAUGUUCUACAAAGAUCUUUAUCGGUCAAACCACAUAACAAUAUACGUUGUUCCCUUUGUCAUCGGUAUGUUACUUGCCCGAGAUUCGAUUGUCGGUAUCUCAAUACCUAGUUCAAUCUCGUUACCGGCAAGCCUUUUUACUCGUUCCGUAAUGCAUCAUCCCGUAACUAACUCAUUAGCCAUAUUGCUUGGAAGGCUUAUAGUGAUGUGCAUUACCGAGAGGGCCCAGAGAUACCUCUCCGACAAUCAGAGUGACAAAUCCUAAUCUCGAUCUAUGCCAACUCAACUAAGACCAUGGAAGACACAUGUAGAGCACCUUUAUAAUCACCCAGUUACGUUGUGAUGUUUGGUAGCACACAAAGUGUUCCUCGGAUAUUCGGGAGUUGCAUAAUCUCAUAGUCAUAGGAACAUGUAUAAGUCAUGAAGAAAGCAAUAGCAACAUACUAAACGAUCAAGUGCUAAGCUAACGGAAUGGGUCAAGUCAAUCACAUCAUUCCCUAAUGAUGUGAUCCCGACAACUCAUGUCUAUGGCUAAGAAAUUUAACCAUCUUUGAUUAACGAGCUAGUCAAGUAGAGGCAUACUAGUGACACUCUAUUUGUCUAUGUAUUCACACAUGUACUAAGUUUCCGGUUAAUACAAUUCUAGCAUGAAUAAUAAACAUUUAUCAUGAUAUAAGGAAAUAUAUAAAUAACAACUUUAUUAUUGUCUCUAGGGCAUAUUUCCUUCAUUCUCAUACCAUUUUAUGUACAAAUAUUUUGUCGGAAAGAAUUGUGCAAUUAUGCCUUAUAAAUCAUAACUCUUGGAUGCAACUUUUUGCACAAUUUUUUUUGUCAGGAUGUAUUACUACUUUGAUGAAAAUUUACUUGUCGAUUUUUUUUUGCAUUUUAGAUCUGACAGAUAAAGGCACUGUGCCUUGUAUCAUGCAUUCCCAUCUUGGUAUCUGUGCGCAACAUCAACAUUUUUGCCAUGCUAAUUGGUUAGUUUAACUUGUUACAUAUUGCAUUUCUUAUAUUUCUUUGUAUGUUUCUUUUAAUAACAAACCACUCUACGUUUAACAUUCUUUUGGUACAGUGAAUCAUAUUCACCUAUUCAAUUAUCAUGAUCCAUUACAGGAAUUACCUUUCAAGCAAUCUAUUCAUUGUGCAUUUUUUGUGAGGUUUGCAUGCGAGCCGUGGGAGGACCAGAUGAGAGGCGAAGGCGGCAGCGAUUUCGAUCGAUGAUACGCCUCCCUGCUGGAGGCGGUAGCAUGAUCCAGCCGUGCCACCUGACGCCGACUUCUUGACCGUGCUACUGCACCAAGACUUUCCCGUUUGUAUCCCCUUCUGCUUGCCAUUGGACUCUCGUUGUCAGGCCAAGAAAGAGGGUGACAGAGGCGAUUUUUUUUCAAAACUAUGACGUAUUUUGUAGCAAUUUCGGAAACUAUAGCACAUAAUGAAAAAAAUGCAAAACUAUGACCCUGUCGGCCACGUGCAGACCGAAAAGGUAGUUUUCGGCCAACUGUUGGCCGAAGUAGGGUUUUCGGCCUUGCCAUGGCCGAAAAGUGGUUGAGCUGCCCGAAAUGGCUGUUUUCGGCUACUGUUUGGCCCAAAAGGUCUUUUUGGUCAAAUGUAGGCCGAAAAGUACUUUUUGGUCUACACUAGGCCGAAAAGUACUUUUUGGUCUAGUGUAGGCCGAAAAGUCCCUUGGGCCCACCUUUCCGUUAUCUGUUGGGCAAGACUUCUGCAUCCUCGAAGGGCAAUAGUUCUGCAUCGACGGAUGGCAAAAGGACCACAUCGUCGAAGGGCAAGAGGGUUGCAUCAACGAAGGGGUUGGCGGGAAAAUACAUUGGCCAACAGUUAACGGAAAAAGAUGGUCCAAGGGACUUUUCGGUCUAAACUUGACCAAAAAGUACUUUUCGGCCUACGAUUGACCAACAAGUACUUUUCGGCCUACACUAGGCCAAAAAGUCCUUUUCGGCCAAAGGGUGGCCGAAAACACCCCUCUUCGGCCAGCUUUGCACCUUUUCGGCCAAGGCAUGGCCGAAAACCCUAUUUCGGCCUAGAGGUAGCCGAAAACACCCUUUUCGGCCAACACCUGGCCGACAUGGUGCUAGACUUGAUAUUUCUCCAAAGCAUGCUGUAGUUUCCGAAUUUGCUUCAAAUAACGUGAUAGUUUUGAAAAUCAGAGUGGGAGGAGGAGAUAAGUUGGGCGUGGUGAGGAGGUUCGGGUGAUCAUCCGCGUUGUUGGCAGCAAGCAUGGAGGAGGUGGCGGGGCUCAACCUCGGUCGUCUGGCAAUCACUUAGUAUACUUAUAUGUCUCCAUUUCUAGAAAUCUUAUAUUCUUCUAUAAUCGUUCGCAAAUCUGUGAGAACAAGUCAUGGGAGCUUAAUCAUGUUAAGCACCAAUAUAUUAUGCUCAUCAAAUCUGCCUAUCAUCACUUGCCAAUUUUUUUUUCUUAUUCCCAACCAGCAACUUGCACCUGACUCAGCUAUUGCAUAUGAUGCGGUUUUAGUUUAUUCUAACAUGAACAAACAAUAUAUUUCGUUGAAGAGGCUCUCGUCGCUUGCAUGCAGAUGUACCACACAAAUCACAAACAAGCAAGAGAAAAGAGCAGAGUGCCUACCUGGCACCGCCGCGGCACGCCUCAGGCGGCUGCGCCCCAACAACCAGUAUUAAGUUUUUUUUUGAACAUCAGUACAGACACAAGCGUUCAUAUACACGCACAUACACUCAUCCCUAUGAACGCACACACACAUACCCUACCCCUAUGAGCACCUCCGAAAGACUGAGCCGGCAUAUCAUCUUGAGAUUUACGAAGUCACCAUAAGCGCCUCGUCGUCGACGGAAACGUCUCCUCCCACUGAAUGAGCAUCGCCGGAAAUCCUGAAAUAAAUCCAGGAAUAAAUGCGAGCACCAGGAUUUAAACCUGAUGGGCUGGAAAUACAACAGUCCCAAGUAAAGAGGCACCAAGCGGCAAGUCUGAUAAGCUAUCGGAAAAAAUUAAAGAGGCAAAAAUAAAGCAAAUCAAGAAAAAGUGAAGAAUGAAAAUUAGUGAAUUGAAAAUAAACAAAAAAAUAAGGAGCAAAAAGGAGGUACAUUGAACCGUGGGGCUCAUACUUUAUAGCGCUAGCGCACCCAUGUGACAAAAAUCCCUUAUUUGUGCGAGUGCAAGCCGAUGGAUUUUGUGUGUAUUCUUUCUACUUUUGGUUGAUGAUUUGGCAGUUGAUAUGACAAAUUUCUCAGAUCUUUUUUUUUUGAAACAAGGCAAAAGACUUGCCAUUUUCAUUUAAUAAGAAGAGGUUUCAGAACAGACAUCGCCAAGCGGCGGAAAAGCAAAACAAUUACUCUCGCGGCAUUACAUUACGCAAAUGCUUAGCGCCUGCAACGGCCCAAAUCGAAACUUCCUCUUUGAUGCGUAGCAUGACAAUCGCCACCGGCGCCGCUUUGCUCCUGAAGACACGAGAAUUCCUUUCAUUCCAUAUCUCCCAUCCCACAAGAAGUAACAGGGAAGAUAGGGCCUUCGUCGGGAGUGUAUUAUCAGAGAGAACCGCAUCUCACCAGGAUUUCACCGAAUCGAACAGGAGCCACGGAGCCGUGGGGAUAGCAAGCCCAACCCAUGAGAAGACCGCAUUCCAAAUCCGAACAGAGAAAUGACACUUGAAGAUCAGGUGUGCUGCAGAUUCUUGCACCUGACUGCAAAGUGGGCAUUUGUCACAAUUUGGCCAUCCUCUCCUCUGAAGCCUAUCAGCUGUCCAAACUCUGUUGUGGAUAACGAGCCACGCGAAAAAUUUGCAUUUGGGGGGAACCCACGCCUUCCAAACCGCAGCAGCCAAACUUGAGAGCGGGAGGUCAUGAAACUGCGCCUAAUAAGCAGACUUUGCAUAGUACUGCCCAUCAUUGAUUGACUUCCACAAUAUGGAGUCCUGGACACCCGGCUGAAUGGCCACAGUCGCUAGCUUCUUUCAAAGGGCCAAAAAUUGUUGAAGGUGUUCAAGAGUGAGGCCAGAUUCGGUUUGGAAGGUGUUCUAGAGUGAGGCCACAGUCGUUUGUUGAAGCUAGCGACUUUGGUGCCUUAGUCACUGGUGCCUUUUCCGCCUAACGAAUAUCUAUGUGUAGUGUAGUUAAUUCUUUCCUUCGCUGCUAAGGCACCAAACGCAUAGAACCUCUUGGAACUGAUUGACGCGCAGUGACUAUUUUCAUGGCGUAGCUGCCACGAGACAUUGGAAUUUAGUUCGACCUGGCAAAAUCUCUCACGAUUAGUACGUGCUGUGCUGUCCAAAGAUUCAACUCGUCGAUGGCGCCUCGACGUCUUUCUCGUUAAUAAGCACCGGGCACUGCAUUUCCCGCACCAAACUCAAGCCAAAGCGAUUGAAGUCUGCUUCGUCGCUACUCCUCCAAUCUAAGUCCACAGCACUCUCUAAACUGCGUGUUAAUUAAGGAGGACGGCCACGGAUUUUAUGAAAUAGCCCUCUAGUUGCCGCCAUCUCAAGAAUUCUUUGGAGUGGGUCGAUCGCGAGCACAAAUAGCAAGGGGGAUAUAGGGUCCCCCUGCCGGAGACCCUGGCCAUGGAUGAUGGGGCUGCCAGCGACGCCGUUAAGAAGAAUCCGCGAGGAAGAGGAGCAAAGUAGGGCGGUGAUCCAAUCUCUGAAAAUGCUCGGGAACCCCCUACGGCGGAGGAGGUCAAUGAUAUACGAACCUCCCUUUAUGCGGACGACGCGGCGGUCUUCAUGGCACCCAUCAAGCGCGAUAUUGGCCACCUCUCCAACAUCCUUCGUCUUUUUGGUGAUGUCACCGGUCUAGCCACCAACUUUCAGAAGAGCUCGGUCAUCCCAAUCCGUUGUGGGCACAUCAACCUGUCGGACAUCCUUCAAAAGCUUCCGGCGGCGCGCGGGUCCUUCCCCAUGAAAUACUUAGGCCUCCCACUCUCUGUGUGGCGGCUCAGGAAGGUGGACUUUUAGUUCUUGGAGGAUAAGGCGGCGGCAAAGUUGGCCCCUUGGGACGGGCAAAACAUCACGUCUAUGGGACGCACCGCCUUGGUCAAGUCGGUGCUUGCCUCCCAAGCCAUAUACUUCAUCACUACGCUCGUCGUCCCCACAAGCACCCUCAAAAAUCCCAACAAGCUUGAGCGAGCGUUCCUUUGGGAGGGAACAGACAAGACCACCGGGGCCAAAUGCAAGGUUAAUUGGGACACCGUUUGCCGCCCAAUUGCCAAUGGGGGUCUUGGAGUGCUAAACACGGAGAAAUUCGCUAGGGCACUGAGGAUUCGUUGGAUUUGGUUUGAGUGGAAGGAGCCAACUAAGAUGUGGGUUGGCAUGGGCAACCCGUGCGAUGACGCAGACUACAACUUCUUCUAUGCCUCCUCAAUUAUUAUCGUGGGAAAUGGCGCGCGCGCCCCCUUUUGGGACUCUCCAUGGGUGCACAACCGCAAACCCAUGGAUUUGGCCCCUCUCAUCUACGCGGCGUCAACGAGGAAGAAUUGGAAGGUGCGGGAAGCACUAAAGGAUGGUGCUUGGGUUAAAAAGAUCAAGAUGACGUCCGAUUUUUCUAUAGAGCACUUCAGACAAUUUCUCGAGCAUUGGGCCACCAUCCGGGAUUUUCACCUACAGGAGGAUAUUGACGACGACAUUGUUUGGAAGCAUUCUACUAGUGGCCUCUACACGGUGGAGUCCGCCUACAAAGCGCAAUUUCUCGGCCUCAUUCGCUCUCCCUUGGAGCAUGCAGUGUGGAAAAUCUGGGCUCCACCCAAGGUCAAGUUCUUUGCUUGGUUGGCCAUCCAAAUAGAGUCUGGACUGCGGAUCGAUUGGCCAAGCGUGGUUGGCCUAACUGUGGCUCAUGCCCCCUAUGCAUGCGUGAGAAUGAAUCGGUUGACCAUCUCUUCUUCAAAUGUCGUUUCACCGUUCGCCUAUGGGGCUUGGUCAAGGCGUGGCUGCAACUCAUUCACAUUGACACCUCUACUUGGCCCCUGAGGCAUUCCACCUUAGACUGGUGGCUUGGGUUGACUGAUGCUUCCGUCCCCAAUCGGAAGGCCAUGGCCUCGCUCACCAUGCUCACUACAUGGACGAUCUGGAACGAGCGAAACGCUCGUGUAUUCCGCAACAUGGCCGCUCCGCCUACGGUUCUUCUCGACAACAUCAAAAGGGAGGCAUCAUUUUGGGUCGCCGCUGGAUCUAAGAAGCUAGGGUCCAUCAUGCCGGGAGAGUGAUUCUUCCGUGUAUUGUUAAGGGGUGUUUGUAACACAAACUCUAUUCUCUCUUAAUUAAUAUACGUGGCAAAUCUUUUGCCCGUUUUCAAAUUUUUUUUAAGGAGGACGUACGUAACGGUUGUUGUUGAUCGAUGGUUACUUGUCGUCGAGUAGUAUGUAAGAGCAACUCCAACGCGCGGAUCCAAACGGACAAAGAUUUAUCCGCUUUUCAUCCGUUUGGGUCAGCCGGCCGCUAGGCGUCCGCCCUGUUUAUGAUUUGAGUCGGCAAUGCACCCAACGCGCCGACCCAUAUUUGUUGGCGUGGCUGGCUGGCCGUUGUUUUUCGACAAAUAUGCACACAUUUUGCAUAGUUUCACAAGCAAACAAAAAUAGCAUAGUUUCAUCCCCUCUAAUACGGUGGAAAAGAUGUCUAGCCAUGCGAAAACGCCAUCGGAAUUUCUGAUGUUUAAACAACGGGUUGGUUGUGUCAAGGUAGUCCUUUCAAAGAAGCAAAUGGUCGCUCUCUCCAUUGCGAUUCAACGCCGGAAUGUGCCCCGAGAUCGAGCCCCGGAACAACGGUCGCUGCCUAUUAAGGUGGUCAUGGACCAACAUGACAUACAACAUCUCCUCAUCAUCGGACGGGGAAUAGUCGGAGUCGCAUAGAAAAUUGUGGAAAAAGAACUCGUUGGCGGAGUCCAUUUUGUAUCUUGGCAAACUGUCGAACAUCUUCUGGGCUCGACAAAGAAGUUGGUCGGCGAAGAGAUGCGCGCCUCCCUUGAACCAGGUGGCUUGCCUGGCGACGUCCGACGAGCAUGCCGACGUUAGGACAGUGGGUGGUGUCGGACGAAGGAGCUGGCCGGGGCGGGGGAGGCAGCUUCCUUCUCGCGAAGACGUCGGAGUGUGGUGUGGGAAGCUUCGGUGCCCCGGCAGCGAGGCGGUGGUGCCGGCGACGUGGGAGGUGGCGGUGUUGGGGGGAGGUGUGGCGGCACGGACUGCUGGCAGAGGCACCGAAAAAUGGGCGGCGACAGCGAUGGGGCGGGGCGGGCGAGGGUUUGCUGUCGAUAUGGGUGAAAGAGGAUGAUCAAUGUGCCACCAACUAGCGGGCCAGGGGGAGGAGUAGGUGCGCGUUGCGCGCGUCCGCUUCGUGUCCGGUCGACGCAAAUUAGACUCAAAAUUGGGCGGGGAAUGGGUCAGCAGGCGGACAAAAAGCGGAUGCACAUCCGUUUGGAUCGGCACGCUGGGCCGAAUUUUCUCUCCGCGCCAAUCCAAACGGACGCACGCGGAUGAAAUGGGUCGGCGUGUUAGAGUUACUGUAACACGUGUGUUUCACAAGUUUUUGCGUGGCCCUAAACUUCUCCUUUUUUGCUUUUGCUUAUUUUUUCAAAAAUGAGAUUAAACCUUUUUUUUUUUGCAUCCGGUGAUGCACACACGGUGCCAUGUUUUUCUUUGGAUUGUACUCUCUCCGUUCCAAAAUAGAUAUCCCAACUUUAUACUAACUUUAUACUAAUGUUGGUAUAAAUUUGAGUCAUCUAAUUUAAAACGGAGAGAGUACACAGUAUUGACUUUGGUGCCCAUGGAAGCGAGGCGAAUCAUGUGCGCACGUGCCGUCGGGAUCGUAUCAACCAAUCCACAGUUCGCGGUGGAGAAAAACAAGGCCGUCCGAAGACCAGAUCUUUGGCUAAAGAUGCACGUGUGGUUAGGAAAGUGCUUUGACUGCAGCUCUAGUACUUCGGCAGACACGCUGGCGCCCAGUCAAACUCAACGUUCUAAUCUUGUACUCCCUGCAGCUCGGUAUAUUAGUCGGGGGCACUGGUUUUCAGAUCUUUGAAUUGGCUAAUAAGACAUGUGUAAUAUGCCACAAGAUUUACAUGGUUAGAAAAUACAUUUGGCAACGAUCUAAAGAUUCCUUUUUUACAAAAUAUAAAUAUAAUGCAUGUUUCCCUAGUUAAAUUAAAGACCUAAAAGUCCAUGCCCGACCUAUAAACUGAACCGGAUGAAGUACUGGGACAGCAAGGUUGAAAAUGGAAAUCUGCUGAUGCAGGGGCCUUGGUACGGCACAGAGAGUUAAUGAAAAGCUUCCUUUUCCAAAUCACAAAUUAAUUAACAAGAACAUCAACGAGGCACCUACUAUCAAGAAUUAGGAAAACCACUUUUCAAAUUACAGAAACUUAAAUCAAAAUUUGUAUAAGAGUUGCAUAGUCGAACCAAAAUCCAUAAUUUAUUGUAACUUUCCAUAUCUUACUAGCACAAUGUUUUGGCACAUGAAAGUACAUUGCAUCCAUCAUUUCCAUAGCAUUCACCAUACGCAACAACACGAUGCACGGGCGCAGUAACUUUUUUCAAAGUGGAAACCACGCCAUUCACAACUAAUCUUGCACAUAGUAACAUUGUUGGGUGUUGGUGUCUGGCAUGCUCGGAAAAGAUCACAUGAAGUCCACAAUCCAGUUGUACCUACGAACAACAAAGUAUAGCAUCCCGGUUCAUAUUAGGAUAUGCAGUAUAAAUUGCAUAAGUUCAGAUUAUAUGAGUAUCCAAGUUGUGAGCAUACAUCAUACAUAAGUGGACUAUUGUAAACAUAAACAAAGAGUGUACCUUUGUUUCUUGCAGUUGCUUGACAUGACCAUAAAGUGCUGGACAUCAUUAGAAGAACUACCAAACAUAGAGCCUGUGUGUUGUUCUUCAUAUGUGCCAUGAGGAGUGGAUUCUUAAUUCUUUUUCCUCCUAUCCCUAUAUUCUUAAUGGGUGAUGUUUCUUAUUGUGUUAUAUAUAAAGAGGCAUAAGUCUUGAAGGAUCCAUUCUUGCUCUUAUAACAUUUCUCACAUUAUUGUUUUGAGCAUCAUGAGAAAUAUCUUGUGAAGAUUGUGUUAUUAAAUGCCACCUAGAUUUUGAUAUUUGAAAUUAAUCACUACCCUGAAAUACCACACAUAUAGCACAUUACAUUGUGCGGCGCAAAAAAUGCAGAUUAAAUUGUUCAUCUUCCAGAAUUUAAUGUGUAUUUCCAUUAGUAGUUGUUCCAUCAUGUAGCAUAAUAGAUCCAGUUAAGAAAAACAUUUCUGAUAAUAAUCACGACAUUCUUUUCAUUUGGAUUCCACAAUAUUAACACAUUAUCUAUUAUAACUUCAGCAUUCAAUGUAACGAGCAGAAAAAGGCGCCUGAAAAUUACUAUAAACAAGUUCGCACAAACCAAGUUGACCCUUUGUUCUUUUGAGCAAAAACAAAAAAAUUGACCCUGUCUUGUGGGCCGAGAUAGGCCCAGGCACAUAAGGCCACAACACGGGGCUUGAAUUUUAUUGGGAAUCGUUUAGACACGGCGCGCCCGCCGAAGGUUGGGCUGGUCGCGCGCGAGCCGCGUGAUCGAUCUCGAUGGUGUGUCUCCCACGGCCACAAGCGCGGUAUGUUAUAUAAGCCAUGGGUCGGGCUUGUUGAGAGAUUAUCAUACAAUCCGUUGGUUCAUACCCUUACAUUGUACACUCAAAUCGCAAAAUAUACAUGAGCGGGAGUAGGGUAUUACCUCGAUCGUGAGGGCCUGAACCUGUGUAAACUCUACACCAUAUUUCCCCUUCGACCUGAUCACUACGCUGGGAUACCCUACCGAGGGAUCGGCAGGAUUUAGUUUCGACAAUCCCUAUGCUACUGAUGAGCCACAAGUUGUCGGUUACUGGAUGAGCCAUUGGGAAGCUUCCACACCAUCUCUAUUGGUUGGCGACCAUACGACCAUGAGUAGUGCAACGCAUCGCCCUCGAGAGAAUGAUUUUGCAUCAUUGGAGGUCUUUUCGCAUGAGUGAUUGGACUGUAACAACUUAUUAACACUAUCACGAAGGGGACCCUACCUGGUGCUAUAAUGAUUGAUUUAUGACAAUCCUUUUUCACAUGAUUUUAGAGAUUAAUUUAACCAUGAGGUUCAUAGCCUUGUUAAGGUGAGCACGCGAUAUUGGUUGGAUAUCAUGUAGGGCCUCUCCAGCCAACAAUUUUGCUUGUACCCUGAACAAUCCUAGAUCUAUAAAGAAAAUCAUGAGUGUAGUAUAAUUCCGCUCCAGGAAGAUUGAAUUGAUUGGUCGAAGUUCAUGUUGGGAAACGAAGCAUGCAAAUUCAAAAAAAUUCCUACGCUGACGCAAGAUCUAUCUAGGAGAUGCAUAGCAAUGAGAGGGGUAGAGUGUGUCCACGUACCCUCAUAGACCGAAAGCGUAAGCAUUAGCUUAACGCAGUUGAUGUACUCGAACAUCUUCUCGAUUCAACCGAUCAAGCACCGAACGUACGGCACCUCCGAGUUUUGCACAUGUUCAUAUCGAUGACGUCCCUCGUACUCUUGACCCAGUAGAGGUACGAAGGAGUAGAUGAGUUCCGUCAGCAUGACGGUGUGGUGACGGUGAUCCUGAUGUGAUCUGCACAGGGCUUCGCCUAAGCACUACGACAAUAUGUGUUGGGAAACGUAGCAUUCAAUUUCAAACAAAAAUCCUACGCUCACGCAAGAUAUCUAGGAGAUGCAUAGUAUCGAGAGGGGGGGAGUGUGUUCACGUACCCUCGUACCGAAAGCGGAAGCAUUAACUUAACGUGGUUGAUGUAGUCGAACGUCUUCUCGAAUCAACCGAUCAAGUACUGAACGUAUGUCACCUCCGAGUGCUGCACACGUUCAGCUCGAUGACGUCCCUCGAACUCUUGAUCCAAUAGAGGCACGAAGGAGUUGAUGAGUUCCGUCAGCAUGACAGCGUGAUGACGGUGUUUGUGAAGUGAUCCGCGCAGGGCUUCGCCUAAGCACUAUGACAAUAUGACCGGAGGAGUAAACGGUGGAGGGGGCACCGCACACGGCUAAACAAUUGAUGUGUCUAGAGGUGCCCCCNNNNNNNNNNNNNNNNNNNNNNNNNNNNNNNNNNNNNNNNNNNNNNNNNNNNNNNNNNNNNNNNNNNNNNNNNNNNNNNNNNNNNNNNNNNNNNNNNNNNNNNNNNNNNNNNNNNNNNNNNNNNNNNNNNNNNNNNNNNNNNNNNNNNNNNNNNNNNNNNNNNNNNNNNNNNNNNNNNNNNNNNNNNNNNNNNNNNNNNNNNNNNNNNNNNNNNNNNNNNNNNNNNNNNNNNNNNNNNNNNNNNNNNNNNNNNNNNNNNGCACGCCAUGGGGGGAGUCCUACUAGGACUCCUAGUCCUAGUCGCCACCCCCUUCCUUCUAACGGAGGGGGAAAGGGGGAAGGAGAGGGAGAGGGAGAAGGAAAGUGGGGUGGCGCCCCCUUCCCUAGUCUAAUUCGGCCUCCUCCCUUCUAUGGGGGGGGGGAGGGGGUGAACCAACCCCUUGUGGGCUGGUUAGCCUCCCUCCUAUGGCCCAUAUGGCCCAUAUCUUCCACCGAGGGGUUCCGAUAACCCCUCUGGUACUCCGGUUUGUACCCGAUACACUCCGAAACCCUUCUGGUGUCCGAAUACCACCUUCCAAUAUACCACGUACGGGUUCGAGAACUAUGUAGACAUGACCGAGACACCUCUCCCGUCAAUAACCAAUAGCGGAACCUGGAUGCUCAUAUUGGUUCCCACAUAUUCUAGGAAGAUCUUUAUCGCUCGAACCGCAAUGUCAACAUACGUUAUUCCCUUUGUCAUCGGUAUGUUACUUGCCAGAGAUUCGAUCGUCGGUAUCUCCAUACCUAGUUCAAUCUCGUUACUGGCAAGUCUCUUUACUCGUUCCAUAGUGCAUCAUCCCGCAACUAACUCAUUAGUCACAUUGCUUGCAAGGCUUCAUAUGAUGUGCAUUACCGAGAGGGCCCAGAGAUACCUCUCCAUUACUCGGAAUAACAAAUCCUAAUCUCAAUCUAUGCCAACCCAACAAACACCUUCGGAAAUACCUGUAGAGUAUCUCAAUUAUAAUCACCCAGUUACGUUGUGACGUUUGAUAACACACAAGGCAUUCCUCCGGUACCUGGGAGUUGCAUAAUCUCAUAGUCAGAGGAAUAUGUAUUUGACAUGAAGAAAGCAAUAGCAAUAAAACUGGACGAUGAUAUGUCUCCAACGUAUCUAUAAUUUAUGAAGCAUUCAUGCUAUUAUAUUAUUUGUUUGGAUGAUUAUGGGAUUUAUUAUACACUUUUAUAUUAUUUUUGGGACUAACCUAUUAACCGAAGGCACAACCCAUAUUGCUGUUUUCUUGCCUAUUUCAGUGUUUCGAAGAAAAAGGAAUAUCAAACGGAGUCCAAACGGAAUGAAACCUUCGGGAGCGUUAUUUUUGGAAUGGAUGUGAUCCAGGAGACUUGGAGUUGAAGUCAAGGAAGCUUCGAGGUGGCAACGAGGGUGGGGGCGCCCCCCCUACUGGGCGCGCCCCCCUGUCUCGUGGGCCCCUCGAGCGUCCCCUGACCGACUUUUUUCGCCUAUAUAAGUCCAUAUACCCUAAUACCUUCGGAGAGCACAAUAGAUUGGGAGUUCCGCCGCCGCAAGCCUCUGUAGCCACCAAAAACCUCUCGGGAGCCCUGAUACGUCUCCGUCGUAUCUACUUUUCCAAACACUUUUGCCCUUGUUUUGGUCUCUAACUUGUAUGAUUUGAAUGGAACUAACCCGAACUGACGUUGUUUUCAGCAGAACUGCCAUGGUGUUGUUUUUUGUGCAGAAUAUAAAAAUUCUCGGAAUGUCCUGAAACUCCACGGAACACCUUAGAAAAAAUAAAGAAAAAUCCUUGCAAAAGAUGAAGACCAGAGGGCCCACACUUUGCUCACGAGGGUGGGGGCGCGCCCCCUACCUCGUGGGCCCCCUGGUGGCCCUCCGACGCCAAGUCCAACUCCAUAUAUUGGCUUUCAGGGAGAAAAAAAUCAGAGAGAAGAAAUCAUCGCGUUUUACGAUACGGAGCCGCCGCCAAGCCCUAAUCUCUCUCGGGAGGGCUGAUCUGGAGUCCAUUCGGGGCUCCGGAGAGGGGGAUUCGUCGCCGUCAUCAUCAUCAACCAUCCUCCAUCACCAAUUUCAUGAUGCUCACCGCCAUGCGUGAGUAAUUGCAUCGUAGGCUUGCUAGACGGUGAUGGGUUGGAUGAGAUUUAUCAUGUAAUCGAGUUAGUUUUGUUAGGGUUUGAUCCGUAAUAUCCAUUAUGUUCUGAGAUUGAUGUUGCUAUGACUUUGCUAUGCUUAAUGCUUGUCACUAGGGCCCGAGUGCCAUGAUUUCAGAUCUGAACCUAUUAUGUUUUCAUGAAUAUAUGUGUGUUCUAUAUCCUAUCUUGCAAGUCUAUAGUCACCUACUAUGUGUUAUGAUCCGGCAACCCCGAAGUGACAAUAAUCGGGACCACUCCCGGUGAUGACCAUAGUUUGAGGAGUUCAUGUAUUCGCUAUGUGCUAAUGCUUUGUUCCGGUUCUCUAUUAAAAGGAUGCCUUAAUAUCCCUUAGUUUCCAAUAGGACCCCGCUGCCACGGGAGGGUAGGACAAAAGAUGUCAUGCAAGUUCUUUUCCAUAAGCACGUAUGACUAUAUGCGGAAUACAUGCCUACAUUACAUUGAUGAACUGGAGCUAGUUCUGUGUCACCCUAUGUUAUGACUGCUACAUGACGAACCACAUCCAGCAUAAUUAUCCAUCGCUAAUCCGGUGCCUACGAGUUUUCCAUAUACUAGUUUACGCUUAUUUACUUUUUCAUUGCUGCUGUCACAAUCACUACAAAACACCAAAAACAUUACCUUUACUAUCUUUGAUUUUGUUACCGUUACCACCACUAUCAUAUUACUUUGCUACUAAACACUUUGCUACAGAUACUAAGUUUUCAGGUGUGGUUGAAUUGACAACUAAGCUGCUAAUACUUGAGAAUAUUCUUUGGCUCCCCUUGUGUCGAAUCAAUAAAUUUGGGUUGAAUACUCUACCCUCGAAAACUGUUGUGAUUCCCUAUACUUGUGGGUUAUCAAGCCCUUUUUGGCACCCUGCCGGAGGGGGAACCCAUCACCGGUGGUCAUCUUCAUCAUCCUGGCGCUCUCCAUGACGAGGAGGGAGUAGUUCACCCUCGGGGCUGAGGGUAUAUACCAGUAGCUAUGUGUUUGAUCUCUCUCUCUCUCUCUCUCUCUCUCUCUCUCUCUCUCGUGUUCUCUCUAUGGCACGAUCUUGAUGUAUCGCGAGCUUUGCUAUUAUAGUUGGAUCUUAUGGUGUUUCUCCCCCUCUACUCUCUUGUAAUGAAUUGAGUUUUCCCUUUGAAGUUAUCUUGUCGGAUUGAGUCUUUAAGGAUUUUAGAACACUUGAUGUAUGUCUUGCCGUGCUUAUCUGUGGUGACAAUGGGAUAUCACGUGAUCCACUUGAUGUAUGUUUUGGUGAUCAACUUGCGGGUUCCGCCCAUGAACCUAUGCAUAGGGGUUGGCACACGUUUUCAUCUUGACUCUCCGGUAGAAACUUUGGGGCACUCUUUGAAGUACUUUGUGUUGGUUGAAUAGAUGAAUCUGAGAUUGUGUGAUGCAUAUCGUAUAAUCAUACCCACGGAUACUUGAGGUGACAAUGGAGUAUCUAGGUGACAUUAGGGUUUUGGUUGAUUUGUGUCUUAAGGUGUUAUUCUAGUAUGAACUCUAUGAUAGAUUGAACGAAAAGAAUAGUUUCGUGUUAUUUUACUACGGACUCUUGAAUAGAUAGAACAGAAAGGAUAACUUUGAGGUGGUUUCAUACCCUACCAUAAUCUCUUCGUUUGUUCUCCUCUAUUAGUGUCUUUGGAGUGACUCUUUGUUGCAUGUUGAGGGAUAGUAUUAUAUGAUCCAAUUAUGCUAUUAUUGUUGAGAGAACUUGCACUAGUGAAAGUAUGAACCUUAGGCCUUGUUUCCUGCCACUGAAAUACCAUUUACGCUCGCUUUUAUCGCUUGCUACCUUGCUGUUUUUAUAUUUUUUGAUUACAAAAACCUAUAUCUACCAUCCAUAUUGCACUUGUAUCACCAUCUCUUCGCCGAACUAGUGCACCUAUACAAUUUACUAUUGUAUUGGGUGUGUUGGGGACACAAGAGACUCUUUGUUAUUUGGUUGCAGGGUUGCUUGAGAGAGACCAUCUUCAUCCUACACCUCCCACGGAUUGAUAAACCUUAGGUCAUCCACUUGAGGGAAAUUUGCUACUGUCCUACAAAUCUCUGCACUUGGAGGCCCAACAACGUCUACAACAAGAAGGUUGUGUAGUAGACAUCAAGCUCUUUUCUGGCGCCGUUGCCAGGGAGGUGAGUGCUUGAAGGUAUAUCUUUAGAUCUUGCAAUCGAAUAUUUUUGUUUCUUGUUUUAUCACUAGUUUAGUCUAUAAAGAAAACUACAAAAAAAUGGAAUUGAGUUUGUCUCUUAUGCUUCAUCCUUUGAAUAUCUUUCAUAAGUAUGAUGGUAAGGAAAAUUGUGCUCAAGUGCUACAAGAAGAAGUCUAUAAAAUAUUUGCCAUAAAAUAUUUGAAUGAUGAGCAUGAUUGCAAUGUUGUUAGUAUGAAUUCCUUGAAUAUCCAUGAUGCUAAUGAUAUGCAAAGCCUCAAGCUUGGGGAAGCUAUGUUUGAUGAAGAUGAUAUUUUUUGUUCCCCAAGUUUUGAUGAGAAUAUUUAUUAUGAUGAUAGCAUGCCUCCUAUUUAUGAUGAUUAUAUUGAUGAAAGUGGAUUUGGAGAGGUCAUGACUUUAUUUAGUGAUGAAUCCACUAUUUCGGAAGAGGUUCCAAUUGAUUUUGAGAACACAGUUGCUAUCUAUGAUGAUUAUUGUGAUGACUUGUAUGCUAUGAAGAAUAAUGAUAACCAUGAAACUUUUCAUCAUGAUUUUAUUUUUCAAUUGGAUUAUGCCUCACAUGAUAUUUAUUUUGUUCAGUUUGCUCCCACUAGUAUUCAUGAGAAGAAUUUUGCUUAUGUGGAGAGUAAUAAAAUUUCUAUGCAAGUAGAUCAUGAAAAGAAUGCUUUAGGUGCUGGUUAUAUUGUUGAACUCAUUCAUUAUGCUACUGAAAAUUAUUAUGAGGGAGGAACAUAUGCUUGUAGGAAUUGCAAUAAUGUCAAGUUUCCUCUCUAUGUGUUGAAUAUCUUGAAGCUAUGCUUGUUUUACCUUCCUAUGCUAGUUGAUUAUUGUUCCCAUAAGUUGUUUGAUCACAAAAUCCCUAUGCAUAUGAAGUGGGUUAGACUUAAAUGUGCUAGUCAUAUUCUUCAUGAUGCUCUCUUUAUGUCUCAAUUCUUAUCUUUUAUGUGAGCAUCAUUGAUAUCAUCGUGCCUAGCUAGGGGCGUUAAACGUUAGCGCUUGUUGGGAGGCAACCCAAUUUAUUUUUGUUCCUGUUUAGUAAUAAAUAAUUCAUCUAGACUCUGGUUAUAUGUGGUUUUAUGUUUAUAUUAGUGUUUGUUCCAAGUAGAACCUUUGGGAAGACUUGGGUGAAGUCUUAUGAUCUUGCUGUAAAAAACAGAAACUUUUGCGCUCACGAGAUUAGCUGCCAUUUUUUUACUGGAGAGUAUUUUUAGGUUGAUUCUUUUUGCAGAUGAUUAAUAUACAAAUUCCUAAGGUCCACCAAUUUAUUUCAGAAUUUUUGGAGUAACAGAAAUAUUCGAAUGAUACAGAUUACUACAGACUAUUAUGUUUUCGACAGAUUCUGUUUUCUAUGUGUUGUUUGCUUACUUUGAUAAAUCUAUGAGUAGUAUCGUAGGGUAUGAACCAUAGAGAAGUUGAAAUACAGUAGGUUUAAAACCAAUAUGAAUUUAUAAUGAGUUCACAACAGUACCUAAGUGGUGGUUUUAUUCUCUUAUACUAACGGAGCUUACGAGUUUUGUGUUGUGAAGUUUUCAAGUUUUGGGUGAAGUUUCAAUGGAUUACGGAAUAAGGAGUGGCAAGAGCCUAAGCUUGGGGAUGCCCAAGGCACCCCAAGGUAAUAUUCAAGGACAACCAAGACCCUAAGCUUGGGGAUGCCCCGGAUGGCAUCCCCUCUUUCGUCUUCGUUCAUCGGUAACUUUACUUGGAGCUAUAUUUUUAUUCACCACAUGAUAUGUGUUUUGCUUGGAGCGUCAUUUUAUUUUGUUAGUAUUUGCUUACUGUUAUUUAGAAUAUGUUUUGCAUCUAUAUUUUCAAUAAGAAUGUCAGGGACAGCCUUUACCAUGCUUAUUUUGCAAGUAUACAUGUUGCUGUUUCAAAAAAGAAAGUUUACCGCUGUUGCAAAAAUUCCAAAGAAAAGCCAGAGAAUGAUCUAAUGUUAAAACUUUUUGCAUAUUGAGCUCUGAUUAAUAUUCUACAGCAUAGUAUUUUUCUCAUAAUUUUUGGAGUUAGGGAAGUAUGAUGAAUCUUGCAUUCUUUACAGACUAUACUGUUUUGGCAGAUUGCUAUUAUGUUUGUAUUGUUUGCAUAUGUUUGCUUGUUUAAUGAUUCUAUUUGAUGAUAGGAGUAUUAAAUAUGCAGAGACAUUUAGUAUGCAAUGUUGAAUAAUAAUUUUUAUGAUUUGCUACUGUAUAGAAUGAUAAGGUUUUGGAUUGGUUUAUACUAACUUAUCUCACGAGUUCUUGUUGAGUUUGGUGUGGAUGAAGCUUUCAAGAUUUAGGAAACCGAGAUAUAAAAGGAAUUAAGGAGACACAAAAGCUCAAGCUUGGGGAUGCCCAAGGCACCCCAAGAUAAUAUUUCAAGAAGUCUCAAGCAUCCAAGUUUGGGGAUGCCCCGGUAGGUAUCCCACCUUUCUUCUUCAAACAAUUAUCGGUUAGUAUCGGUUGAGCCUAAGUUUUUGCGUGCUAUCCUUGAAAUGUCAUUUUGUUUUGCUUUGCUUGCUGUAUAAAUAAAAUACCAAGAUGUGAAAUUCUUAAAUGAUAGAGAGUCUUCACAUAGUUACAUAAUUAUUUAACUACUCAUUGAUCUUCACUUAUAUCUUUUUGGAGUAGUUUGUUAUUUACUCGUGUGCUUCACUUAUAUCCUAUGAGUAAAUGGUUGAAUGAGUUGAAUGUCAUAAAUCUGAAAUUAUAUAUGUCUCAUUUGCUUAUUCCAUGGGGAGUAAUGACUUCACAUCUAAGAAGUAGAGGUUGUAAAUUUAUUGAAGGUUAGCAAGCAUUAUAUUGGUCAUUUGAACAAUUCAUGAAAGAAUAUUGAAGGAAGAGAGAUUUCACAUAUAAAUAUACUACCUUGGACAUCUUUUAUAAUUGUGAACACUCAUUAAGUAUGACAUGCUAAAGAGUUGAUGUUGGAAAAGGAAGACAACGUAAUGGGUUAUGUUUUCUCAUAUCUCAGUUAAAGUAUAUUGUCAUGGAUCAUUCAAACAUGUUGAGCUUGCCUUUCCCCCUCAUGCUAGCCAAAAUUCCUUGCACCAAGUAGAGAUACUACUUGUGCUUCCAAAUAUCCCUUAAACUAGUUUUGCCAUGAGAGUCCACCAUACCUACCUAUGGAUUGAGUAAGAUCCUUCAAGUAAGUUGUCAUGGUGCAUGCAAUAAAAAUUGCUCUCUAAAUAUGUAUGAUCUAUUAGUGUGAAGAAAAUAAGCUUUAUACGAUCUUGUUAUGGAAGCAAUAAAAGCGACAGACUGCAUAAUAAAGGUACAUAUACAAGUGGCAAUAUAAAGUGUUAUUCUUUUGCAUUAAGAUGUUAUGCAUCCAACCAUAAAAGAGCAUGACAACCUCUGCUUCCCUCCGCGAAGGGCCGAUCUUUUACUUCAUGUCUUUUACUUUAUGUAAGAGUAAAGGUGAUCUUCACCUUUCCCUUUUUCAUUUUAUCCUUUGGCAAGCACCUCGUGUUGGAAAGAUCUUGAUAUAUAUAUAUAUAUAUAUAUAUAUAUAUAUAUAUAUAUAUAUAUAUAUAUAUAUAUAUCCAAUUGGAUGUAAGUUAGCAUGAACUAUUAUUGUUGACAUCACCCAAAGGUGAAUACGUUGGGAGGCAACACUAUAAGCCCCUAUCUUUCUCAAUGUCAGAUUAAAACUCCAUAACCACAAGUAUUGCAUGAUUGUUAGUAAUUGUAGAAGACUAUAUGAUAGUUGAGUAUGUGGAGUUUGCUAAAUGAAAGCUCUGACAUAGACACUUCCUAAAAAUAAGAUGAAUUGCAAUUUUUUGAUGACUAAGGAUGAAGUUUGCUAGUUUUCAAGAAAGUUUAUGGUCUAUGAUUUAACAUGUGAAUAGCUUGUUACUUGAUCUUGAGAAAGUUUUAUGAGAUGAACUACUGUUAUGACAUAUAAUCAUGCUAGAAAAGGUGAUUGAAAUUAUCAUUGAUCAAACUUGUGCACCUACUAGCAUUCACACUUCAUAAAUUCUUUCUUUUAUCAUUUACCUACUCGAGGACGAGCAGGAAUUAAGCUUGGGGAUGCUGAUACGUCUCCAACGUAUCUAUAAUUUGUGAAGCAUCCAUGCUAUUAUAUUAUCUGUUUGGAUGAUUAUGUGAUUUAUUAUACACUUUUAUAUUAUUUUUGGGACUAACCUAUUAACCGGAGGCACAGCCCAUAUUGCUGUUUUCUUGCCUAUUUCAGUGUUUCGAAGAAAAGGAAUAUCAAAUGGAGUCCAAACGGAAUGAAACCUUCGGGAGCGUUAUUUUUGGAAUGGAUGUGAUCCAGGAGACUUGUAGUUCAAGUCAAGGAAGCUUAGAGGUGGCCACGAGGGUGGGGGGAGCCCCCCCCCACAAGGCGCGCCACCCUGUCUCGUGGGCCCCUGGAGCAUCCCCUGACCGACUUCUUUCGCCUAUAUAAGUCCAUAUAUCCUAAAACCUUCGGAGAGCACAAUAGAUCGGGAGUUUCGCCGCCACAAGCUUCUGUAGCCACCAAAAACCUCCCGGGAGCCCUUUCCGGCACCCUGCCGGAGGGGGAACCCAUCACCGGUGGUCAUCUUCAUCAUCCCGGCGCUCUCCAUGACGAGGAGGGGGUAGUUCACCCUCAGGGCAGAGGGUAUGUACCAGUAGGUAUCAGUUUGAUCUCUCUCUCUCUCGUGUUCUCUCUAUGGCACGAUCUUGAUGUAUCGCGAGCUUUGCUAUUAUAGUUGGAUCUUAUGAUGUUUCUCCCCCUCUACUCUCUUGUAAUGAAUUGAGUUUUCCCUUUGAAGUUAUCUUGUCAGAUUGAGUCCUUAAGGAUUUGAGAACACUUGAUGUAUGUCUUGCCGUGCUUAUCUGUGGUGACAAUGGGAUAUCACGUGGUCCACUUGAUGUAUGUUUUGGUGAUCAACUUGCGGGCUCCGCGCAUGAACCUAUGCAUAGGGGUUGGCACACGUUUUCAUCUUGACUCUCCGGUAGAAACUUUGGGGCACUCUUUGAAGUACUUUGUGUUGGUUGAAUAGAUGAAUCUGAGAUUGUGUGAUGCAUAUCGUAUAAUCGUACCCAUGGAUACUUGAGGUGACAAUGGAGUAUCUAGGUGACAUUAGGGUUUUGGUUGAUUUGUGUCUUAAGGUGUUAUUCUAGUAUGAACUCUAUGAUAGAUUGAACGGAAAGAAUAGCUUCGUGUUAUUUUACUACGGACUCUUGAAUAGAUAGAACAGAAAGGAUUACUUUGAGGUGGUUUCGUACCCUACCAUAAUCUCUUCGUUUGUUCUCCGCUAUUAGUGUCUUUGGAGUGACUCUUUGUUGCAUGUUGAGGGAUAGUAUGAUAUGAUCCAGUUAUGCUAUUAUUGUUGAGAGAACUUGCACUGGUGAAAGUAUGAACCUUAGGCCUUGUUUCCUACCAUUGCAAUACCAUUUACACUCACUUUUAUCGCUUGCUACCUUGCUGUUAUUAUAUUUUUAGAUUACAAAAACCUAUAUCUACCAUCCAUAUUGCACUUAUAUCACCAUCUCUUCGUCGAACUAGUGCACCUAUACAAUUUACCAUUGUAUUGGGUGUGUUGGGGACACAAGAGACUCUUUGUUAUUUGGUUGCAGGGUUUCUUGAGAGAGACCAUCUUCAUCCUAUGCCUCCCACGGAUUGAUAAACUUAGGUCGUUCACUUGAGGGAAAUUUGCUACUGUCCUACAAACCUCUGCACUUGGAGGCCCAACAACGUCUACAAGAAGAAGUUGUGUAGUAGACAUCAGACGAUCAUUAUGCUAAGCUAACGGAUGGAUCUUGUCCGUCACAUCAUUCUCCUAAUGAGGUGAUCUCAUUCAGCAAAUGACAACACAUGUCCAUGGCUAGGAAACUUAACCAUCUUUGAUCAACGAGCUAGUCAAGUAGAGGCAUACUAGGGACAUAGUGUUUUGUCUAUGUAUUCACACAUGUAUCAAGUUUCCGGUUAAUACAAUUCUAGCAUGAAUAAUAAACAUUUAUCAUGAUAUAAAUAAAUAUAAAAUAACAACUUUAUUAUUGCCUCUAGGGCAUAUUUCCUUCAGUCUCCCACUUGCACUAGAGUCAAUAAUCUAGUUCACAUAUUUAUGUGCUUAACACCCAUAGUUCACAUCGCCGUGUGACCAACACCCAAAGGGUAUACUAGAGUCAAUAAUCUAGUUCACAUCGCUAUGUGUUUAACACCCAAAGAGUACUAAGGUGUGAUCAUGUUUUCCUUGUGAGAGAAGUUUAGUCAAGGGGUCCGCCACAUUCAAAGCCGUAUGUAUUUUGCAAAUUAUCUAUGUCUACAAUGCUUUGCAUGGAGCUACUUUAGCUAAUUGCUCCCACUUUCAAUAUGUAUCUAGAUUGAGACUCAAAGUCAUCCGGAUUGGUGUAAAAGCUUGCAUCGACGUAACUCUUUAUGACGAACUCUUUAUCACCUCCAAAACUAAGAGAUAUUUCCUUAGUCCUCUUAGGUAACUAAGGAUAAUCUUUGACCGUUGUCCAGUGAUCCACUACUGGAUCACUAUCGUACCCCCUUGCCAAACUCAUGAUAAGGUACACAAUAGGUCUGGUACACAGCAUAGCAACAUUUAUAGAACCUAUGGUUGAGGCACAGGGAAUGACUUUCAUUCUCUUUUUAUUUUCUGCUGUGGUUGCGUUUUGAGUCUUACUCAACUUUACACCUUGCAACACAGGCAAGAACUCCUUCUUUGACUAUUCCAUUUUGAACUACUUCAAAAUCUUUGUCAGGGUAUGUACUCACUGAAAAAUAUUAUCAAGCAUAUUGAUCUAUGUCUAUAGGUCUUGAUGCCCAAUAUGUAAGCAGCUUCACCGAUGUCUUUUCUUGAAAAACUCCUUUCAAACUCUCCUUUAUGCUUUCCAGAAAAUUCUACAUCAUUUCCGAUCAACAAUAUGUCAUUCACAUAUACUUAUCAGAAAGGCUAUAGUGCUCCCACUCAGUUUCUUGUAAAUACAGGUUUCUUCACAAGUCUGUAUAAAACUAUAUGCUUUGAUCAACUCAUCAAAGCAUAUAUUCCAACUCCGAGAUGCUUGCACCAGUCCAUAGAUGGAUUUCUGGAGCUUGCACAUUUUGUUAGCACCUUUAGGAUUGAUAAAAUCUUUUGGUUGCAUCAUAUACAACCCCUUUUUUUAUAAAUCCAUUAAGGAAUGCAGUUUUGAUAUCCAUUUGCAAGAUUUCAUAAAAUGUGGCAAUUGCUAACAUGAUUCGCACAGACUUAAGCAUCGCUACGAGUGAGAAACUCUUAUCGUAGUCAACGCCUUGAACUUGUGGAAAACCUUUUGCGACAAGUCGAGCUUUGUAGAUAGUAACACUACCAUUAUCAUCCGUCUUUCUCUUGAAGAUCCAUUUGUUCUCAAUGGCUUGCCGAUCAUCGGGCAAGUCCACCAAAGUCUACAGUUUGUUCUCAUACAUGGAUCCUAUCUCAGAUUUCAUGGCCUCAAGUCAUUGAAUCUGGGCUCACCAGAGCUUCUUCAUAGUUCGUAGGUUCGUCAUGGUCAAGUAACAUGGCCUCUAGAACUGGAUUACCGUACCACUCUGGUGUGGAUCGUGCUCUGUUUGACCUACGAGAUUCUGUAGCAACUUGAUCUAGAGUUUCAUGAUCUUUAUCAUUAGCUUCCUCUCCAGUAGGUGUAGGCAUCACGGGAACAAAUUUCUCAGAUGAGCUACCUUCCAAAUUGAGAGUAGCUACAAUUACCUCAUCAAGUUCUACUUCCCUCCCACUCACUUCUUUCGAGAGAAACUCCUUCUCUAGAAAGAUUCCGUUCUUAGCAACAAAAAUCUUGCGUUCGGACUUGUGGUAGAAGGUGUACCCAAUUGUUUCCUUAGGGUAUCCUAUGAAGACGCACUUCUUCGAUUUGGGUUUGAGCUUAUCAGGCUGAGGCCUUUUGGCAUAAGCAUUGCAUCCCCAAACUUUAAGAAACGACAACUUAGGUUUGUUGUCAAACCACAGUUCAUACGGUGUGGAUUUUGACGGUGCCCUGUUUAACGUGAAUGCAGCUGUCUUUAAUGCAUAUCCCCAAAACGAUAGUGGUAAAUCGGUAAGAGACAUCAUAGAUCACACCAUAUCUAAAAAGUGCGGUUACGAUGUUCGGACACACCAUUAUGCUAUGCUGUUCCAGGUAGCUUGAGCUGUGAAACUAUUCCACAUUGUUUUAAUGAAGGCCAAACUCGUAACUCAAAUAUUCACCUCCACGAUCAGAUCAUAGAAACUUUAUUUUUUUUGUUACGAUGAUUCUCCACUUCACUCUAAAAUUCUUUGAACUUUUCAAAUGUUUCAGACUUGUGUUUCAUUAAGUAGAUAUACCCAUAUCUGCUCAAAUCAUCUGUGAAGGUCAGAAAAUAACGAUACUCGCCACGAGCUUCAACACUCAUCGGACUGCAUAUAUCGAUAUGUAUUAUUUUUAAUAAGUCAUUAGCUCGUUCCAUUGUUCUGGAGAACUGAGUUUUAGUCAUCUUGCCCAUAAGGCAUGGUUCGCAAGUAUCAAAUGAUUCAUAAUCAAGUGAUUCCAAAAGUCAAUUUGCAUGGAAUUUCUUCAUGCGCUUUACACCGAUAUGACCUAAACAACACUGCCACAAAUAUGUUGCACUAUUAUUAUCAACUUUGCAUCUUUUGGCAUCAAUAUUAUGAAUAUGUGUAUCACUAUGAUCGAGAUUCAAUAAACCAUUAACAUCAGGUGUAUGACCAUAUAAGGUUUUAUUCAUGCAAAUAGGAUAAAAUUUAUUCUCUGUCUUGAAUGAAUAACCGUAUUGCAAUAAACACGAUCCUAUCAUGUUCAUGCUCAACGCAAACACAAAAUAACAUUUAUUUAGGUUCAACACUAAUCCAGAAAGUAUAGGGAGUGUGUGAGAUGAUGAUCAUAUCAAUCUUGGAACCACUUCCAACACACAUCGUCACUUCACCCUCAACUAGUCUCCAUUUAUUUGACAACUCCUGUUUUGAGUUACAAAUCUUAGCAACCGAAUAGGUAUCAAAUACACAGGGGCUACUACGAGCACUAGUAAGGUACACAUCAAUAACAUGUAUAUCAAAUAUACCUUUGUGCACAUUGCCAUCCUUCUUAUCCGCCAAAUAUUUGGGGUAGUUCCGCUUCCAGUGACCAUUUCCUUUGCAGUAGAAGCACUGAGUUUCAGGCUUAGGUCUAGCUUUGGGAUUCUUCACGGGAGUGACAACUUGCUUGCCAUUCUUUUUGAAGUUCCCUUUCUUUCCCUUUGCCCUUUUCUUGAAACUAGUGGUCUUGUUUAAUCAUCAACACUUAAUUCUUUUUCAUUAUUUCAACCUUCAUUGAUUUCAGCAUCACGAAAAGCUCGGGUAUUGCUUUUGUCAUCCCUUGCAUAUUAUAGUUCAUCAUGAAGUUCUAGCAACUUGGUGAUAGUGACUAGAGAACUCUGUCAAUUACUAUAUUAUCUGGAAGAUUAACUCCCACUUGAUUCAAGCAAUUGUAGUACUCAGACAUUCUGAGCACAUGCUCACUGAUUGAGCUAUUCUCCUCCAUCUUGUAGGUGAAAUAUGAUACGUCUCCAACGUAUCUACUUUUCGAAACACUUUUGCUCUUGUUUUGGACUCUAACUUGCAUGAUUUGAAUGAAACUAACCCGGACUGACGUUGUUUUCAGCAGAACUGCCAUGAUGUUGUUUUAUGUGUAGAAAAGAAAAGUUCUCGGAAGGUCCUGGAAAUCCACGGAGGCACUUUUCAGAUUUAAUAAGAAUUUUUGGUGAAAGAAUCAAGGUCAGGGGGCCCACGGGCUGUCCCCGAGAUAGGGGGGCGCCCCCCUCCCUAGGGGCGCGCCCUCCUAUCUCGUGGGCCCCCCAGACCUCCUCCGACAUCAACUCCAGCUCCAUAUAUACCGUCUCGGGGAGAAAAAAAUCAAGGAGAAAGUUUCAUCACGUUUCAUGACACGGAGCCGCCGCCAAGCCCUAAUCUCUCUCGAGAGGGAUGAUCUGGAGUCCGUUCGGGGCUCCGAAGAGGGGAAUUCAUUGUCGUCAUCAUCAUCAACCAUCCUCCAUCACCAAUUUCAUGAUGCUCACCGCCGUGCGUGAGUAAUUCCAUCGUAGGCUUGCUGGACGGUGAUGGGUUGGAUGAGAUUUACCAUGUAAUCAAGUUAGUUUUGUUAGGGUUUGAUCCCUAGUAUCCACUAUGUUCUGAGAUUGAUGUUGCUAUGACUUUGCUAUGCUUAAUGCUUGUCACUAGGGCCUGAGUGCCAUGAUUACAGAUCUGAACCUAUUAUGUUUUCAUGAAUAUAUGUGUGUUCUUGAUCCUAUCUUGCAAGUCUAUAGUCACCUAUUAUGUGUUAUGAUCCGACAACCCCGAAGUGACAAUAAUCGGGAUACUUCUCGGUGAUGACCGUAGUUUGAGAACUUCAUGUAUUCACUAUGUGUUAAUGCUCUGGUCCGGUUCUCUAUUAAAAGGAGGCCUUAAUAUCCCUUAGUUUCCACUAGGACCCCGAUGCCACGGGAGGGUAGGACAAAAGAUGUCAUGCAAGUUCUUGUCUAUAAGCACGUGUGACUAUUUACGGAAUACAUGCUUACAUUACAUUGAUGAAUUGGAGCUAGUUCUAUAUCACCCUAUGUUAUAACUAUUGCAUGAGGAAUCGCAUCCGGCAUAAUUAUCCAUCACUGAUCCAUUGCCUACGAGCUUUUCACAUAUUGUUCUUCGCUUAUUUACUUUUCCGUUGCUACUGUUACAACUACUACAAAAACCCAAAAACAUUUACCUUUUCUAUUGCUACCGUUACCAUUACUAUCAUACCACUUUUGCUACUAAACACUUUGUUGCAGAUACUAAAUUAUCCAGGUGUGGUUGAAUUGACAACUCAACUGCUAAUACUCAAGAAUAUUCUUUGGCUCCCCCUGUGCCGAAUCAAUAAAUUUGGGUUGUACUUCACCCUCAAAAGCUGUUGUGAUCCCCUACACUUGUGGGUUAUCAAGACUAAUUUCUGGCGCCAUUGCCGGGGAGCAUAGCUCUAUUCUCUGAGUCGCUUGGGAUUUAUAUCUGUUGAUCACUAUGAAGAACUUGAAAGACGCUAAGACCAAGAUUUAUCCCUCAACUACAAUGGGAGGUAAGGAACUGUCAUCUAGCUCUGCACUAGAUUCUCCUUCCGUUAUUAGUAGGCUUGCGACACCUAAACCUGCUACUACUAUGAAUUCUGAUAUGUCGCAUGUUAUUGAUGAUGCCACUUCUGCUAUGCAUGAAGAAACUACUUCUGUGCGUGAUACUACUUUGCCAUUAGGUGAAUUUCUUGAUGAACAACUUGCUAGAGUUAAGGGGAAUGAAAAUAUUGAAGAUGCUAUUGAUGACGAACGUUCCCCCAAUGAUUAUGUAUUACCUGUUGUUCCUAAGGGUUAUGUUAUGAAUGAAAAAGCUGCUAUGGAAAUUCUUGCUUGCAAUGAUAGAUCUGAUCUUAAGAAAUUAUUAGCUAAAUGGAAGAAGUAGUCUCUUAAUGCUAGAAUGAAACCCGAUCCUGCUUUUGCUACUUCACCUAUCUGUGUUACUGAUAAGGAUUAUGAAUUCUCUGUUGAUCCUAAUAUUAUUACUUUAGUUGAAUCUGAUCCUUUUUAUGGCCUUGAAUCUGAAACUGUUGUGGCACAUCUUACCAAGUUGAAUGAUAUAGCCACUCUAUUUACUCAUGAUGAGAAGUCUCACUAUUUAUAUAUCCUUAAGAUAUUUCCGUUCUCAUUAAAGGGUGAUGCUACGACUUGGUAUAAUUCUCUUGCUCCUAGUUGUGUGCGUAGUCCCCAAGAUAUGAUUUAUUACUUCUGUGCUAAAUAUUUCCCUGCUCAUAAGAAACAAGCUGCCUUGCGGGAAAUAUAUAAUUUUGUGCAAAUCAAAGAAGAGAGUCUCCCACAAGCUUGGGGGAGGCUUCUCCGGUUACUUUAUGCUUUGCCUGAUCAUCGACUUAAGAAAAAUGAAAUACUUGAUAUCUUUUAUAAUGGACUAACCGAUGCUUCCAGGGACCACUUGGAUAGUUGUGCUAGUUGUGUUUUCAGGGAAAGAACAAUCGACGAAGCUGAAAUACUAUUGAAUAAUAUGUUGACUAAUGAAAAUAAUUGGACUCUUCCCGAGCCAGUUCCUGAAGUAAUUCCUGAACUAAUUGAGCCAACUCCUGAGCCUAUUCCUAAACCCACUCCGAAGAAGAGAGGUGUUUUAUUUCUCAGCCCUGAAGAUAUGCAAGAGGCAAAGAAAUCAAUGAAAGAAAAAGGAAUUAAAGCUGAAGAUGUUAAGAAUUUACCACCUAUUGAAGAAAUACACGGUCUUAAUAUACCGCCUGAAGAACCUCAUUGUCUUGAUAACCCGACACAGGUAGUAAAGGUAAAUUCUCUCUAUAGAUAUGAUAAAGUUGAAAUGCCCUCUACUAAAUUUCAUAGCCCAUGCUUAGAUGAAUUUGAGUACUUUAUGGGUAGACAAGAAAGUUUUAAUGCUUAUGUUGGUAGAGAGUUAAAGAAUAAUGCUUUCGAGAUAGGACGCGUAAGUGAUAAUCUGGCUAGAGUUAAAGAUGAACUUCACCGCAUUAGCAAAUAUGCUUCUAUGGUUGCUACUCAAGCUGAGCAAGUACUCAAAGCUCAAAAUGAUUUGCUUGAUGAAUUGAAUAAUAAAAAUGACUUUGCUGUUAGAGUGGCUACUAGAACUGGUAGAAUGACUCAGGAACCUUUGUAUCCUGAAGGCCACCCUAAGAGAAUCGAGCAAGAUUCUCAAAGAAAUAAUUUAGAGGCACCUAGUUCUUCUAAAAAGAAGAAGAAGAAAAAUGAUAGAACUUUGCAUGCUUCUAGUGAACCUACUGUAGACACACCUGAGAAUCCCAAUGAUAUUUCUAUUUCUGAUGCUGAAACUCAAUCAGGUGAUGAACAUGAACCUAGUGAUAAUGUUAAUGAUAAUGUUCAUGUUGAUGUUCAACCUAGCAAAGACAAUGAUGUAGAGAUUGAACCUGCUAUUGAUCUUGAUAACCCACAAUCAAAGAAUCAAAGUUAUGAUAAGAGAGAUUUUGUUGCUAGGAAGCACGGUAAAGAAAGAGAACCAUGGGUUCAGAAACCCAUGCCCUUUCCUCCUAAACCAUCCAAGUCAAAGGAUGAUGAGGAUUUUGAGCGCUUUGCUGAAAUGAUUUGACCUAUUUUCUUACGUAUGCGCUUAACUGAUAUGCUUAAAGUAAAUCCUUAUGCUAAAUAUAUGAAGGAUAUCAUCACAAAUAAAAGAAAGAUACCGAAAGCUGAAAUUUCCACCAUGCUUGCUAAUUACACUUUUAAGGGUGGAAUACCAAAGAAACUUGGAGAUCCGGGUGUUCCAACUAUACUAUGCUCUAUUAAAAGAAAUUAUGUUAGAACUGCUUUAUGUGAUCUUGGAGCCGGUGUUAGUGUUAUGCCUCUCUCUUCAUAUCGUAGACUUUAAUUAAAUAAGUUGACACCUACUGAAAUAUCUUUGCAAAUGGCCAAUAAAUCAACUGCUAUACCUGUCGGUAUUUGUGAGGAUGUGCCUGUUGUGGUUACAAAUGUCACUAUCUUAACGGACUUUGUUAUUCUUGAUAUUCCCGAGGACGAUAGUAUGUCUAUUAUCCUUGGUAGACCUUUUCUUAAUACUGUAGGGGUUGUUAUUGAUUGCAACAAAGGCAAUGUCACUUUUCAUGUUAAUGGUAAUGAGCAUACGGUACACUUUCCGAGGAAACAAUCUCAAGUUCAUAGCAUCAUUCUAUUGAAAAAGUUCCAACUAUCAUUUUUGGAGGUUUUGAAUUUCCUCUCCCUACUGUCAAGAAAAAGUAUGAUAUUCUUGUUGUUGGGAAUUUUCAUAUCCCCGUUGAGGUAACUUAGUGUUAUUCAAAAUUUCUCCGGUUCCGUGUUAAUUGGAAUGAGUUUGUUAACAAAACUUGAUCAACCUUGUUAGCGGGUUCAUUUUGAUGAUCACGAGAUGGAUGAAACUAGAAGGCACAACCUUCUGUACCCUCCUUUUACUUUUUGUUAUUUGGAAUAAAUAAAGCAAAAAUAGUAUUAUCUGUCUGUUUCCUGAUUUAUCCGUGCAAUAAAAAAUAGUCCGAAAAUAAAAGUGCUCCAAAUGCCCUGCAAAUUUAGUAUGAUUUUUUCUGGAAUAUUUGAGGAUUUUAGGCACUGAAAACACUUCAGGAGGGCUAAGCACCAGGCCACGAGAGAGGAGGGCGCCCCCCCUGUAGGGCGUGCCCCCCUUGUUGGGGAACGUAGUAAUUUCAAAAAAAAUCCUACGCACACGCAAGAUCAUGGUGAUGCAUAGCAACGAGAGGGGAUAGUAUGUCCAUGUACCCUCGUAGACCGAAAGCGGAAGCAUUAUGACAACGCGGUUGAUGUAGUUGUACGUCUUCACGAUCCGACCGAUCCAAGUACCAAACGUACGGCACCUCCAAGUUCAGCACACGUUCAUCUCGAUGACGAUCCCCGGACUCCGAUCCAACAGGGUGUCGGGGAUGAGUUCCGUCAGCACGACGGCGUGGUGACAAUGAUGAUGUUCUACCGGCGCAGGGCUUCGGCUAAGCACCGCUACGAUAUGACCGAGGUGGAAUAUGGUGGAGGGGGGCACCGCACACGGCUAAGGAACGAUCACGAAGAUCAACUUGUGUGUCUAGAGGUGCCCCCUGCCCCCGUAUAUAAAGGAGGGAGGGGGGAGGUGCGGCCGGCCCCCUAGGGGUGCGCCUGGAGGAGUCCUACUCCCACCAGGAGUAGGACUCCCUCCUCUUGCCUUGGUGGAGAAGGAAAGGGGGGAGGGGAAAGAGGAAAGGGGGGCGCCGCCCCCCCCCCUUCCUUGUCCUAUUCGGACUAGGGGGGAAGGGGGCGCGCGGCCUGCCCUGGCCGGCCCUCCUCUUCUCACUCAUGGCCCAUGUAGGCCCAUUAACCCCCGGGGGGAUUCCGGUAACCCCCCGGUACUCCGGUAAAAUCCUGAUUUCACCCGGAACGUUUCCGAUAUCCAAAUAUAGGCUUCCAAUAUAUCAAUAUUUAUGUCUCGACCAUUUCGAGACUCCUCGUCAUUUCCGUGAUCACAUCCGGGACUCCGAACAACCUUCGGUACGUGAAAACUUAUAAACUCAUAAUAAAACUGUCAUCGUAACGUUAAGCGUGCGGACCCUACGGGUUCGAGAACUAUGUAGACAUGACCUAGAACUGUUUCCGGUCAAUAACCAAUAGCGGAACCUGGAUGCUCAUAUUGGCUCCUACAUAUUCUAUGAAGAUCUUUAUCGGUCAAACCGCAUAAAUACAUACGUUGUUCCCUUUCUCAUCGGUAUGUUACUUGCCCGAGAUUCGAUCGUCGGUAUCUCAAUACCUAGUUCAAUCUCGUUACCGGCAAGUCUCUUUACUCGUUCACGUAAUGCAUCAUUCCGUAACUAACUCUUUAUCUAUAUUGCUUGCAAGGCUUAUAGUGAUGUGCAUUACCGAGAGGGCCCAGAGAUACCUCUCCGACAAUCGGAGUGACAAAUCCUAAGCUCGAAAUAUGCCAACCCAACAUGUACCUUCGGAGACACCUGUAGAGCUCCUUUAUAAUGACCUAGUUACGUUGUGAUGUUUGGUAGUACACAAAGUGUUCCUCCGGUAAACGGGAGUUGCAUAAUCUCAUAGUUGUAGGAACAUGUAUAAGUCAUGAAGAAAGCAAUAGCAACAUACUAAACGAUCAAGUGCUAAGCUAACGGGAUGGGUCAUGUCAAUCACAUCAUUCUACUAAUGAUGUGAUCCCGUUAAUCAAAUGACAACUCAUGUCUAUGGUUAGGAAACAUAACCAUCUUUGAUUAAUGAGCUAGUCUAGUAGAGGCAUACUAGUGACAAUAUGUUUGUCUAUGUAUUCACACAUGUAUAAUGUUUCCGGUUAAUACAAUUCUAGCAUGAAUAAUAAACAUUUAUCAUGAAAUGAGGAAAUAAAUAAUAACUUUAUUAUUGCCUCUAGGGCAUAUUUCCUUCAGUCUCCCACUUGCACUAGAGUUAAUAAUCUAGAUUACACAGUAAUGAUUCUAUCACCCAUGGAGUCUUGGUGUUGAUCAUGUUUUGCUCGUGGAAGAGGCUUAGUCAACGGGUCUGCAACAUUCAGAUCCGUAUGUAUCUUGCAAAUCUCUAUGUCUCCCACCUAAACUUGGUCCCGGAUGGAAUUGAAGCGUCUCUUGAUGUGCUUGGUCCUCUUGUGAAAUCUGGAUUCCUUUGCCAUGGCAAUUGCACCAGUAUUGUCACAGAAGAUCUUCAUUGGUCCCGAUGCACUAGGUCUGACACCUAGAUUGGAAAUGAACUCCUUCAUCCAGACUCCUUCAUUUGCUGCUUCCGACGCAGCUAUGUACUCCGCUUCACAUGUAGAUCCCGCCACAACGCUUUGUUUAGAACAGCACCAACUUACAGCUCCACCGUUUAAUAAAAACACGUAUCUGGUUUGCGAUUUAGAAUCGUCUGGAUCAGUGUCAAAGCUUGCAUUGACGUAACCAUUUACGACUAGCUCUUUGUCACCUCCAUAAACGAGAAACAUAUCCUUAGUCAUUUUUAGGUAUUUCAGGAUGUUCUUGAACGUUGUCCAGUGAUCCACUCCUGGAUUACUUUGGUACCUACCUGCCAAGCUUAUUGCUAAGCAUACGUCAGGUCUGGUACACAACAUUGCAUACAUGAUAGAGCCUAUGGCUGAAGCAUAGGGAACAUCUUUCAUUUUCUCUCUAUCUUAUGUGGUGGUCGGGCAUUGAGUCUUACUCAACUUCACACCUUGUAAUACAGGCAAGAACCCUUUCUUUGCCUGAUCCAUUUUGAACCUUUUCAAAACUUUAUCAAGGUAUGUCCUUUGUGAAAGUCCAAUUAAACAUCUUGAUCUAUCUCUAUAGAUCUUGAUGCCCAAUAUAUAAGCAGCUUCACCGAGGUCUUUCAUUGAAAAACUUUUAUUCAAGUAUCCCUUUAUGCUAUCCAGAAAUUCUAUAUCAUUUCCAAUUAACAAUAUGUCAUCUACAUAUAAUAUCAGAAAUGCUACAGAGCUCCCACUCACUUUCUUGUAAAUACAGGCUUCUCCAAAAGUCUGUAUAAAACCAUAUGCUUUGAUCACACUAUCAAAGCGUUUAUUCCAACUCCGAGAUGCUUGCACCAGUCCAUAAAUGGAUCGCUGGAGCUUGCACACUUUGUUAGCACCUUUUGGAUUUACAAAACCUUCUGGUUGCAUCAUAUACAACUCUUCUUCCAGAAAUCCAUUCAGGAAUGCAGUUUUGACAUCCAUUUGCCAAAUUUCAUAAUCAUAAAAUGCAGCAAUUGCUAACAUGAUUCAGACAGACUUAAGCAUCGCUACGGGUGAGAAAGUCUCAUCGUAGUCAACCCCUUUAACUUGUCGAAAACCUUUUGCAACAAGUCGAGCUUUGUAGACAGUUACAUUACCAUCAGCGUCAGUCUUCUUCUUGAAGAUCCAUUUAUUUUCAAUGGCUUGCCGAUCAUCGGGUAAGUCAACCAAAGUCCAUACUUUGUUUUCAUACAUGGAUCCUAUCUCAGAUUUCAUGGCUUCAAGCCAUUUUGCGGAAUCUGGGCUCAUCAUCGCUUCCUCAUAGUUCGUAGGUUCGCCAUGGUCAAGUAACAUGACUUCCAGAAUAGGAUUACCGUGCCACUCUGGUGCGGUUCUUACUCUGGUAGACCUACGAGGUUCAGUAGAAACUUGAUCUGAAGUUUCAUGAUCAAUAUCAUUAGCUUCCUUACUAAUUGGUAUAGUUGUCACAGGAAGUAGUUCUUGUGAUGAACUACUUUCCAAUAAGGGAGCAGGUACAGUUACCUCAUCAAGUUCUACUUUCCUCCCACUCACUUCUUUCGAGAGAAACUCCUUCUCUAGAAAGGAUCCGAAUUUAGCAACGAAAAUCUUGCCCUCAGAUCUGUGAUAGAAGGUGCGGCCGGCCCCCUAGGGGUGCGCCUGGAGGAGUCCUACUCCCACCGGGAGUAGGACUCCCUCCUCUUGCCUUGGUGGAGAAGGAAAGGGGGGAGNNNNNNNNNNNNNNNNNNNNNNNNNNNNNNNNNNNNNNNNNNNNNNNNNNNNNNNNNNNNNNNNNNNNNNNNNNNNNNNNNNNNNNNNNNNNNNNNNNNNNNNNNNNNNNNNNNNNNNNNNNNNNNNNNNNNNNNNNNNNNNNNNNNNNNNNNNNNNNNNNNNNNNNNNNNNNNNNNNNNNNNNNNNNNNNNNNNNNNNNNNNNNNNNNNNNNNNNNNNNNNNNNNNNNNNNNNNNNNNNNNNNNNNNNNNNNNNNNNNNNNNNNNNNNNNNNNNNNNNNNNNNNNNNNNNNNNNNNNNNNNNNNNNNNNNNNNNNNNNNNNNNNNNNNNNNNNNNNNNNNNNNNNNNNNNNNNNNNNNNNNNNNNNNNNNNNNNCUAUUUGGACUAGGGGGGAGGGGGCGCACGGCCUGCCCUGGCCGGCCCUACUCUUCUCCCUCAUGGCCCAUGUAGGCCCAUUAACCCCCGGGGGGGUUCCGGUAACCCCCCGGUACUCCAGUAAAAUCCUGAUUUCACCCGGAACGUUUCCGAUAUCCAAAUAUAGGCUUCCAAUAUAUCAAUCUUUAUGUCUCGACCAUUUCGAGACUCCUCAUCAUGUCCGUGAUCACAUCCGGGACUCUGAACGACCUUCGGUACAUCAAAACUUAUAAACUCAUAAUAAAACUUUCAUCGUAACGUUAAGCGUGCGGACCCUACGGGUUCGAGAACUAUGUAGACAUGACCUAGAACUGUUUCCGCUCAAUAACCAAUAGCGGAACCUGGAUGCUCAUAUUGGCUCCUACAUAUUCUACGAAGAUCUUUAUCGGUCAAACCGCAUAACUACAUACGUUGUUCCCUUUGUCAUCGGUAUGUUACUUGUCCGAGAUUCGAUCGUCGGUAUCUCAAUACCUAGUUCAAUCUCGUUACUGGCAAGUCUCUUUACUCGUUCACGUAAUGCAUCAUUCUGUAACUAACUCAUUAGCUACAUUGCUUGCAAGGCUUAUAGUGAUGUGCAUUACCGAGAGGGCCCAGAGAUACCUCUCCGACAAUCGGAGUGACAAAUCCUAAUCUCGAAAUACGCCAACCCAACAUGUACCUUCAGAGACACCUGUAGAGCUCCUUUAUAAUUACCCAGUUACGUUGUGACGUUUGGUAGCACACAAAGUGUCCCUCCGGUAAACGGGAGUUGCAUAAUCCUAUAGUUGUAGGAACAUGUAUAAGUCAUGAAGAAAGCAAUAGCAACAUACUAAACGAUCAAGUGCUAAGCUAACGGGAUGGGUCAUGUCAAUCACAUCAUUCUACUAAUGAUGUGAUCCCUUUAAUCAAAUGACAACUCAUGUCUAUGGUUAGGAAACAUAACCAUCUUUGAUUAAUGAGCUAGUCUAGUAGAGGCAUACUAGUGACAAUAUGUUUGUCUAUGUAUUCACACAUGUAUCAUGUUUCCGGUUAAUACAAUUCUAGCAUGAAUAAUAAACAUUUAUCAUGAAAUGAGGAAAUAAAAAAUAACUUUAUUAUUGCAUCUAGGGCAUAUUUCCUUCACCCCUGUCUUGUGGGCCCCUGGUGGCUCCCCUCCACUUAUGCCAGCACCCACACACUCCAUCUUCUACCCAAAAAAAUCCCCAUCCAGUUCAUGCCCGAGUUCUAGCUCGUUUUUCUGCGAUUUUCGAUCUCUUAGCUCAAAGCUCCAUUCACAAAACUGCUUUGGGAGAUUGUUACUUGGUAUGUGACUCUUCCAUUGGUCCAAUUAGUUUUUGUUCUAGUGCUUUAUUCAUUGAAAAUCCUUGCUGCCUUGGUGACCCUGUUCUUGAGCUUGCAUGUUAAAUUUUUUGAGGUCCCAAGUAAUUCCAAUGCAUGAUAUAGGCUUCAGGCACUUGUAGGAGUAGUUGCUAUCAAUCUUGUUUAGUUUUAUCCGCUUUUAUUUUGAAGUUACUAAAAUUUCAGAAAUUUUCAGAAAAAGAAAUAUGCUUAGAAGAAUGUACCAAGGUGGUUCCUUGGCAAAGAAAGGGCCAAGAAUUGCUAUACGUGAACAAGAUAUUAAUUUGCCAAGGGACGCAAAUGUACGGGCUUGCGAGUGGCCAUCCGAUGAUUUUAUGGUCGAAGCAGGCUUCAAGGAGGAAUUUUACGCGUAUGUGCGUAAUGCCGAGCUGGAGGACUUCUUACAAGAUAAGUGUCCUCAAUAUUAUCAAUUGACUGAUUCAUUUGUGCAGAGGUUCGAAUAUAUUUCUUCGCGUAAUUCUCCUAAUGUUAUGUUUGAUAUUUAUGAUACAUCUUAUACCAUGGAUUUAGAGGAUUUUACAACUGCUUGCAAACUCCCGCAGUGGGGUAAUAUUAAUGAUCCUCCCAAAUCUGAAGUUAGAAAUUUUCUUGCUAGUAUUACUGUGGGGGAAUCUAGGGACGUAACACAAGCUACCAUAGGGAGCAUUCAUUUUCCUGCUAUACAUUACUUUGCUCUCUUUAUUGGUAAAUGCAUUAACGGUUAGGACGAAGUAAGUCACUUGUGUGCCCCUAAUCUUUGUGUCCUCAAGAGUGCUGUGUCUAAUUAUAGAGGUUAUAACUUAGGGGGCAAUAGUUGCACGUAGGUUGCAUAAUAAUAGUAAAAAAGGGAAUUUCUUUGGAGGAAUUUAUGCAACCCGUGUGGCGAAUUUUCUUAAUAUAGCUCCACGAGAGGGGGAUAUGAUUGUACCUCCUGCUUAUUUAAAUAAAGAAGCUAUGUUUGAUCAUCAAUUUCUUGAGAGGAAUGAACAAUUCCUCCAUUAUCGACUAAUCUAUGAUAGACGCAACGUCAUCCCUGUUACUCUUCCUGCUCCCUACCUUUUUCAUUAUCAGGCAAGAGGAAGAUAUGUUGUCACCAGGGAAGAAGCAGCUGAAUACGAGAGGGGAAUAGAGGCAGCUCGCCAACACGCUGCUGCCCAGGAGGCUGUUGCCUCUACAUCUCAGUACAACCCCAGUUUCACUUAUGGAUAUCAGCCACGCGGUCCUUGGUAUUAGACCAACUUAGGCCAAAAGCCUAAGCUUGGGGGAGUAUGUAUUUCUCAUCGACUUUACAUUCAUGUUCACACACUAGUCGUCGGUGCUCAUACUCUUUCAUUGUAUUAUCCACGUUAGUUUAAAUUUCUUUUUCUAGCUUUCCUUUUGUGUGUUUGUUAAACCUUAAGAAAAACCAAAAAAAUUAGUUAGUUUAAUUUCCUUGCUUGUAGUAGAAAUUAAAAUGAAAACCCAAAAAGAUUUCUCCUUCUUCUUUUACUUGUUGGGAGCUUUCCCGUGUAAAUAGUUUUAUUUUCUUUUCUUUCUUUUGGGGGUCGAGAAGACUAUAUCGAAAAUGCUUAGUGGCUCUUAUAUGCAUGAUUGAUUAUUUAUAUUUAGAGCCCAUAUUACUUGUCUUCUCUCUUGAGUUGAAUGCUUGCAGAUUCCAGCUUAGUCCAAUGCACGUGCACUCUUAUUAUUAUGCACUUCGUUUGGUCAUGCGAGUGAAAGGCAAUAAUGACGAUAUAUGAUGGACUUAUUGCGAUGAGAAAAGCUGGUAUGAACUCGACCUCUCUUGUUUUGUAAAUAUGAUGAUUCAUCGUUCCUGAGUCAGCUAUUAUGAAAUAAACAUAUUUACAAUGACAUUUAGAGAUUAUAGUUGCUUGUGCCAUGAUUGAUUAGCUAUGAGUUAUAAUGGUUUACCUUGCGUGCCAACAUGCUAUUAGAAUGAUUAUGAUGUGGUAUGAUGGGAUGGUAUCCUCCUUUGAAUGAAUUGAGUGACUCGACUUGGCACAUGUUCACACAUGUAGUUGAAUCAAAUCAACAUAGCCUUCAUGAUAGUUAUGUUCAUGGUGGAUUAUAUCCUACUCAUGCUUGUAUCCGGUGUGAAUUAAUUUUAAUGCAUACGACUGUUGUCGCUCUCUCAGUUGGUCGCUUCCCAGUCUUUUGCUAGCCUUCACCUGUACUAAGCGGGAAUACUGCUUGUGCAUCCAAACUCCUUAAACCCCAAAGUUGUUCCAUAUGAGUCCACCACACCUUCCUAUAUGCGGUAUCUACAUGCCGUUCCAAGUAAAUUUCUAUGUGCCAAACUCCACACCUUCAAAUGAAAUUCUGUUUUGUAUGCUCGAGCAGCUCAUGUUACAACUAGGGCUGCCUAUAUCUUACAUGCUAGGUGGGUUAUUCUCAUGAGGAGUGGACUCCGCUCCUCAUUCACGAGAAAGGGCCGGUAACCGGGAUGCCCAGUCCUAUGAUCCAAAAAGAUCAAAACAAAUCAAAAUAAUUAGACAAAACUCCCCCAGGGUUGUUGUAUGUUGGAGGCACUCAUUGUUUCGAGCAAGCCAUGGAUUGAUGCUUGUUGGUGGUUGGGGGAGUAUAAACCUUUACCAUUCUGUUUGGGAACUGCCUAUAAUGCAUGUAGUAUGGAAGAUACAGCCAUCUCAUAGUUGUUGCGUUGACAGUGAAAGUAUGCCGCUCAAAAUGUUAUUCAAUCUCUAUUUUAAAAUCGAGCUCUGGCACCUCUACAAAUCCCUGCUUCCCUCUACGAAGGGCCUAUCUAUUUACUUUUUAUGUUGAGUCAUCACCCUUCUUAUUAAAAGCACCCGCUGGAGAGCACACUGUCAUUUGCAUUCAUUAUUAUUGGUUUAUAUUGGGUAUGACUUGACUGGAUCUCUUUUACCAUGAAUUACAAUGUUUAGUCAGUCCUUGAUCUUUAAAGGUGCUCUGCAUUUAUGUUUUGCGGUCUCGGAAAUGGCUAGCGAGAUACCAAUUUGUUAUAUCAUGUUAUGAUUAUUUUGAGAAAGUGUUGUCACCCGAGUUUGAUUAUUAUGACUCGCUAGCUGAUUAUGCUAUUGAUAUGAGUAAUGUGAGACCUAUGUGUUAUUGCGAGUAUGGUUAGUUCAUAAUCUUUGCUGAAACUUGAAUGCUGGCUUUUGAUGUUACAACAACAAGGGCAAACAGAGUUUGUAAAAGUUUUUCUUUAUCACUUUGAGUUUGUCAACUGAAUUGCUUGAGGACAAGCAAAGGUUUAAGCUUGGGGGAGUUGAUACGUCUCCAACGUAUCUACUUUUCCAAACACUUUUGCCCUUGUUUUGGACUCUAACUUGCAUGAUUUGAAUGAAACUAACCGGGACUGACGCUGUUUUCAGCAGAACUGCCAUGAUUUUGUUUUAUGUGUAGAAAAGAAAAGUUCUCGGAAUGUCCUGGAAAUACACAGAGGCACUUUUCAGAUUUAAUAAGAAUUUUUGGUGAAAGAAUCAAGGUCUGGGGGCCCACGGGCUGUCCAUGAGACAGGGCCCCCCCUAGGGGCGCGCCCUCCUAUCUCGUGCCCCCCCCCCCCUGAUCUCCUCCGACCUCAACUCCAACUCCAUAUAUACCGUCUCGGGGAGAAAAAAAUCAAGGAGAAAGUUUCAUCGCUUUUCACGACAUGGAGCCGCCGCCAAGCCCUAAUCUCUCUCGGGAGGGCUGAUCUGGAGUCCGUUCGGGGCUCCGGAGAGGGGGAUUCGUCGUCGUCGUCAUCAUCAACCAUCCUCCAUCACCAAUUUCAUGAUACUCACCGCCGUGCGUGAGUAAUUCCAUCGUAGGCUUGCUGGACGGUGAUGGGUUGGAUGAGAUUUACCAUAUAAUCAAGUUAGUUUUGUUAGGGUUUGAUCCCUAGUAUCCACUAUGUUCUGAGAUUGAUGUUGCUAUGACUUUGCUAUGCUUACUGCUUGUCACUAGGGCCCGAGUGCCAUGAUUUCAGAUCUGAACCUAUUAUGUUUCCAUGAAUAUAUGUGUGUUCUUGAUCCUAUCUUGCAAGUCUAUAGUCACCUAUUAUGUGUUAUGAUCCGACAACCCCGAAGUGACAAUAAUCGGGAUACUUCUCGGUGAUGACCGUAGUUUGAGGAGUUCAUGUAUUCACUAUGUGUUAAUGCUUUGGUCCGGUUCUCUAUUAAAAGGAGGCCUUAAUAUCCCUUAGUUUCCACUAGGACCCCGCUGCCACAGGAGGGUAGGACAAAAGAUGUCAUGCAAGUACUUUUCCAUAAGCACGUGUGACUAUUUAUGGAAUAAAUGCCUACAUUACAUUGAUGAAUUGGAGCUAGUUCUAUAUCACCCUAUGUUAUAACUAUUGCAUGAGGAAUUGCAUCCGGCAUAAUUAUCCAUCACUAGUCCAUUGCCUACGAGCUUUUCACAUAUUGUUCUUCGCUUAUUUACUUUUCCGUUGCUACUGUUACAACUACUACAAAAACCCAAAAACAUUUACCUUUUCUAUUGCUACCGUUACCAUUACUAUCAUACCACUUUUGCUACUAAACACUUUGUUGCAGAUACUAAGUUAUCCAGGUGAGGUUGAAUUGACAACUCAACUGCUAAUACCCAAGAAUAUUCUUUGGCUCCCCUUGUGUCGAAUCAAUAAAUUUGGGUUGUGCUUCACCCUCGAAAGCUGUUGCGAUCCCCUACACUUAUGGGUUAUCAAAGUACUUGCUAGAGGUCUCAUACCUCUCGACAUGGGCAUGAGCCUGAAAUACCAAUUUCAGAUCUUGGAACAUCUCAUAUGCUCCAUGGCGUUCAAAACGUUUUGGAAGUCCCGGUUCUAAGCUGUAAAGCAAGGUGCACUAAACUAUCAAGUAGUCAUCAUACCGAGCUUGUCAAACAUUCAUAACAACUAUAUCACUCCUGCAACAGGUCUGUCACCUAGUGGUGCAUCAAGGAUAUAAUUCUUCUGUGUAGCAAUGAGGAUAAUCCUCAGAUCGCGGACCCAGUCUGCAUCAUUGCUACUAUCAUCUUUCAACUUAGUUUUCUAUAGGAACAUAUCAAAAAUAAACGGGGAUCUACAACAUGAGCUAUUGAUCUACAACAUAAUUUGCAAAUACUAUCAGGACUAAGUUCAUGAUAAAUUAAGUUCAACUAAUCAUAUUACUUAAGAACUCCCACUUAGAUAGACAUCCCUCAAGUCAUCUAAAUGAUACGUGAUCCAAAUCAACUAAAGCAUGUCCGAUCAUCACGUGAGAUGGAGUAGUCAUCAUUGGUGAACAUCUCUAUGUUGAUCAUAUCCACUAUAUGAUUCACGUUCGACCUUUCGGUUUCAAGUGUUCCGAGGCCAUAUCUGUAUAUGCUAGGCUCGUCAAGUUUAACCCGAGUAUUCCGCAUGUGCAAAACUGGCUUGCACCCGUUGUAUUUGAACGUAGAGAUUAUCACACCCGAUCAUCACGUGGUGCCUCAGCACGAAGAACUUUUGCAACGGUGCAUACUCGGGGAGAACACUUAUACCUUGAAAUUUUAGUAAGGGGUCAUCUUAUAAUGCUACCGCCGUGCUAAACAAAAUAAGAUGCAUAAAGAUAAACAUCACAUGCAAUCAAAAUAUGUGACAUGAUAUGGCCAUCAUCAUCUUGUGCUUUUGAUCUCCAUCACCAAAGCAACGUCAUGAUCUCCAUCGUCACCGGAUUGACUUGAUCUCCAUCGUACCGUCAUGGUCGUCUUGCCAAUUAUUGCUUCUACGACUAUCGCUACCGCUUAGUGAUAAAGUAAAGCAAUUGCAUGGUGUUUGUAUUUCAUACAAUAAAUCGAAAACCAUAUGGCUCCUGCCAGUUGCCGAUAACUUCUACAAAACAUGAUCAUCUCAUACAACAUCUUUAUAUCACAUCAUGUCUUGACCAUAUCACAUCGCAACAUGCCCUGCAAAAACAAGUUAGACGUCCUCUACUUUAUUUGUUGCAAGUUUUACGUGGCUGCUACGGGCUUCUAGCAUGAACCGUACUUACCUACGGCACAAAAACCACAACGAUGAUUUAUCAAGUUUGCUGUUUUAACCUUCACAAGGAUUGGUCGCAGUCAAAUUUGAUUCAACUAAAGUUGGAGAAACAUACACCCGCCAACCACCUUUAUGCAAAACUAGUUGCAUGUCUACCGGUGGAACCGGUCUCAUGAACACGGUCAUGUAAGGUUGGACCAGGCCGCUUCAUCCAACAAUAUCGCCGAAUCAAAAUAAAACGUUGGUGCUAAGCAGUAUGACAAUCACCGCCCACAACUCUUUGUGUUCUACUCGUGCAUAUCAUCUACGCAUAGACCUGGCUCAGAUGCCACUGUUGGGAAACGUAGCACACAAUUUCAAAAAAAAUCAUGCGCUCACGCAAGAUCUAUCUAGGAGAUGCAUAGCAACGAGAGGGGGAGAGUGUGUCCACGUACCCUCGUAGACCGAAAGCGGAAGUGUUAGCUUAAUGAUACGUCUCCAACGUAUCUAUAAUUUUUGAUUGCUCCAUGCUACUUUAUCUACUGUUUUGGACUAUAUUGGGCUUUAUUUUUCACUUUUAUAUUACUUUUGGGACAAACCUAUUAAUCGGAGGCCCAGCCCAGAAUUGCUGUUUUUUUGCCUUUUUUAGUAUUUCGAAGAAACAGAAUAUCAAACAUAGUCCAAACGGAAUGAAACCUUCGGGAUCGUGAUUUUCCAACCGAACGUGAUCCAGGAGACUUGGACCCUACUCCAAGAAGUGUCCCAGGAGGUCACGAGGGUGGAGGGCGCCCCCCUACCACCUGGGCCCCUCGGAGCUCCACCGACGUACUCCUUCCUCCUAUAUAUACCUACGUAUCCCCGAACGAUCAGAACAGGAGCCAAAAACCUAAUUCCACCGCUGCAACUUUUUGUAUCCACGAGAUGCCAUCUUGGGGCCUGUUCCGGAGAUCCGCCGGAGGGGGCAUCCACCAUGGAGGGCUUCUACAUCAUCACCAUAGCCCCUCCGAUGAAGUGUGAGUAGUUUACUUCAGACCUUCGGGUCCAUAGCUAGUAGCUAGAUGGCUUCUUCUCUCUUUUUGGAUCUCAAUACAAUGUUCUCCCCAUCUCUCGUGGAGAUCUAUUCGAUGUAAUCUUCUUUUUGCGGUGUGUUUGUUGAGACCGAUGAAUCGUGGGUUUAUGAUCCAGUAUUAUCUAUGGAAAAUAUUUGAUUCUUCUCUGAAUUCUUUUAUGUAUGAUUUAGUUAUCUUUGCAAGUCUCUUCGAAUUAUCUUUUUGGUUUGGCCAACUAGAUUGGUAGUUCUUGCAAUGGGAGAAGUGCUUAGCUUUGGGUUCAAUCUUGCGGUGUCCUUACUCAGUGACAAAAAGAGUUGCAAGGCACGUAUUGUAUUGUUGCCAUCGAGGAUAACAAGAUGGGGUUUUUAUCAUAUUGCAUGAAUUUAUCCCUCUACAUCAUGUCAUCUUGCUUACGACGUUACUCUGCUUUUACUUAAUACUCUAGAUGCAUGCUGGAUAGCGGUCGAUGAGUGGAGUAAUAGUAGUAGAUGCAGAAUCAUUUCGAUCUACUUGUUUUGGACGUGAUGCCUAUAUACAUGAUCAUCGCCUAGAUAUACUCAUAACUAUGCUCAAUUCUGUCAAUUGCUCAACAGUAAUUUGGUCACCCACCGUAGAAUACUUAUGCUCUCGAGAGAAGCCACUAGUGAAACCUAUGGCCCCCGGGUCUAUUCUCAUCAUAUCAAUCUAUAUCACUUUAUUUACUUGCUUUUUACUUUGCCUUUACUUUUUACUUUGCAUCUAUCUAUCAAAAAUACAAAAAAUAUUAUCUCUAUCAGAUCUCACUCUCGUAAGUGAGCGUGAAGGGAUUGACAACCCCUAAGCGUUGGUUGUGAGUUGCUAUCGUUUUGUGUAGGUACGAGGGACUUGUGCGUAGUCUCCUACUGGAUUGAUACCUUGGUUCUCAAAAACUGAGGGAAAUACUUACGCUACUUUACUGCAUCAUCCUCUCCUCUUCGGGGAAAUCCAACGCGGUGCUCAAGAGGUAGCAAGAAGAAUUUAUGGCGCCGUUGCCGGGGAGGCUCACGCAAGCAAGUCAACCAUACCAAGUACCCAUCACAAUCCCUAUCUCUCGCAUUACAUUAUUUGCCUCUCGUUUUCCUCUCCCCCACUUAACCCUUGCCGUUUUAUUUUCCCUCUCUUUCCCAAUCUCCUCCUCUUUUUCGCUUGUCUCUUGUUUGCUUGUGUCUCCAUGUGCCUUCUUUUUGCUUGCAUCUUCGAUUGCUAAAAGUUUAUGGAUCCUCAUCCGCUUGCUAAUCUCUUUAAGAGAUCCAAUUAUGUUGAACCUAUUGCUAGUGAGUUGAGUGCAGUAUAUUAUCUUUAUGAGGUUUUUCUUGAAAUUCGUGAAUCUGAAAAUUGUGAUGAAGUACUUUAUGAAGCAAUUCACGAUAGAUCUUUGAAUAAAAAUCAUGAUUGCAAUGAUUUUGUUAUAAAUUCUAUUGAUGUAAAUUGUGCUAAUAAUAUGCAAAACUCUAAGCUUGGGGAUGCUAGUUUUGCUAUGUCUACUACUUGUUGCAAUGAUCAUGAUUGGGGUGAUUCUUCUUUUGAUCUUGAAAAUUUAUUUAAGCCCCGUGAUGAAUAUGAGAUUGAUAAUAUUGUUUGCAAUGAUAUUGAAAGUGGGUUCGGAAGAGUGUCAACUCUAGAUCCCACAUAUUUGGAUAAUAUUCAAUCUUAUGAAAUUUUUGAUAAAAGUGGGUUUGGAGAGGUCAUGACUUUAGUUAAUGUUAAUCCCACUAUUUCGGAAGAGUGUCAACUUUGCAUGCAUGUGGAUCGUGUUGAAAAUAUUUUAUGUGAUAGCUAUUUUGUUGAAUUUGCUUAUGAUCCCACAUGUAAUUAUUAUGAGAGAGGAAAAUAUGGUCGUAGAAAUUUUGAUGAUAAUAAAUUACCUCUCGUUAUGUUGAGAUUGCUAUUGUUUCUUUCCGCCUCCUUGCAUAUGCUAGUUUUUGCUUGCCUUGAUAAUUUGUUUGCCUAUAAGAUGCCUAUGCAUAGGAAGUAUGUUAGACUUAGAUGUGUUUAUCACGUGUUUUAUGAUGCUCUCUUUGUUCUUCAAUUCUUGUCUUUCUUGUGAGCAUCAUUGAAAUAUCUAUGCCUAGCUAGGGGCGUUAAACGAUAGCGCUUGUUGGGAGGCAACCCAAUUUUAUUUUGUGUUUUUUGUUUUUGCUUCUGUUUAGGAAUAAAUAAUACAUCUACCUUCUUUUUAUAUGUGGUUUUAUGUUUUAAUUAGUGUUUGUGCCAAGUAGGACCUAUAGGAUAACCUACGAUGAUAGUUGAUUUGAUUCUGCUGAAAAAACAGAAACUUUGCGCCCACGAAUAUAAUUUUGUUAAAUCACAGGAAGGUGAUUUUGCGUUUAUUCUUUUUGAUGCUGAUCAAUAAACAAAUUUUCCAGGAAUUCAUAUUUUGGUAGAAUUUUUAGAGUUCCAGAAGUUUGCGUCAGUUACAGAUUGCUACAGACUGUUCUGUUUUUGACAGAUUCUGUUUUUUGUGUGUUGUUUGCUUAUUUUGAUGAAUCUAUGGCUAGUAAAUUAGUUUAUAAACCAUAGAGAAGUUGGAAUACAGUAGGUUUAACACCAAUAUAAAUAAAGAAUGAGUUACUUACAGUACAUUGAAGUAGUCUUUUGUUUUCUUUCUCUAACGGAGCUCACGAGAUUUCUGUUGAGUUUUGUGUUGUGAAGUUUUCAAGUUUUGGGUGAAUUAUUUUGAUGGCUUAUGGAACAAGGAGUGGAAAGAGCCUAAGCUUGGGGAUGCCCAUGGCACCCCCAAGAUAAUCCAAUGACACCAAAAAGUCAAAGCUUGGGGAUGCCCCGGAAGGCAUCCCCUCUUUCGUCCACUUCCAUCAGUAAUUUACUUGGAGCUAUAUUUUUAUUCACCAACAUGAUAUGUGUUUUGCUUGGAGAGUCUUGUAUUAUUUGUGUUUUUGCUUGUUAGUUUACCACAAUCAUCCUUGCUGUACACAUCUUUUGAGAGAGCCAUACAUGAAUUAGAAUUUGUUAGAAUACUCUAUGUGCUUCGCUUAUAUCUUUUGAGCUUGAUAGUUUUGCUCAUAGUGCUUCACUUAUAUCUUUUGAGCGUGAUAAUUUUUGCUCUAGUACUUCACUUAGAUCUUUUAGAGCACGGUGGUGGAUUUGUUUUAAAGAAACUAUUUGAUCUCUCAUGCUUCACUUAGAUUAUUUUGAGAGUCUUUAAUAGCAUGGUGAUUUGCUUAAUGUUAAUAUACUUGGUGUUCAAGAUAUGUGAAACUUUCUUUUGAGUGAAUUGAAUACUAAGAUAAGUUUGAUGCUUGAUAAUUGUUUUGAGAUAUGGAGGUGAUAAUAUCAUAGUCGUGCUAGUUGGGUGAUUAUGAAUUUGAGAAAUACUUGUGUUGAAGUUUGCAAAUCCCAUAGCAUGCACGUAUGGUUAAAGUUAUGUAACAAAUUUGAAACAUGAAGUGUACCUGGCUUGUGCAUCCUUAUGAGUGGCGGUCGGGGACGAGCGUUGGUCUUUUCCUACCAAUCUAUCCCCCUAGGAGCAUGCGCGUAAUACUUGAAUUUUUGAUGACUUCUAAAUUUUUGCAAUAAGUAUAUGAGUUCUUUUGACUAACGUUGAGUCCAUGGAUUAUACGCACUUUUACCUUUCCGCCAUUGCUAGCCUCUUCGGUACCGUGCAUUUCCCUUUCUCACCUUGAGAGUUGGCGCAAACUUCGCCGGUGCAUCCAAACCCCGUGAUAUGAUAUGCUCUAUCACACAUAAACCUCCUUAUAUCUUCCUCCAAACAGCCACCAUACCUACCUAUUAUGGCAUUUCCAUAGCCAUUCCGAGAUAUAUUGCCAUGCAACUUCCAUCAUCAUCAUGACAUGCAUUACUUUUGUCAUAUUGCCAUUGCAUGAUCUUGUAGUUGACAUCGCAUUUGUGGCAAAGCCACCAUGCAUUAUUUUUCAUACAUGUCACUCUUGAUUCAUUGCACCAUCCCGGUACACCGCCGGAGGCAUUCAUAUAGAGUCAUAUUUUGUUCUAAGUAUUCGAGUUGUAAUCCUUGUGUUGUAAUCAAUAGAAGUGUGAUGAUCAUCAUUAUUAGAGCAUUGCCCAAAUAAAAAAAGAGAAAGGCCAAAAAUAAAAAAAGGGCAAUGCUACUAUUUCUUUUUCCACACUUGUGCUUCAAAGUAGCACCUUGUUCUUCAUGUAGUCUCAUAUAUUGUGCUUCAAAGUAGCACAUUGUUCUUCAUGUAGUGAGUCUCAUAUAUUGUGCUUCAAAGUAGCACCUUGUUUUUCAUGUAGUGAGUCUCAUAAGUUGCCUUUUUAUACUAGUGGGAAUUUUUCAUUAUAGAACUUGGCUUGUAUAUUCCUAUGAUGGGCUUCCUCAAAUGCCCUAGGUCUUCGUGAGCAAGCAAGUUGGAUGCACACCCACUAGUUUUCUUUUGUUGAGCAUUCAUAGCUCUAGUGCAUCCGUUGCAUGGCAAUCCCUACUCCUCAUGUUGACAUCAAUUGAUGGGCAUCUCCAUAGCCCGUUGAUUAUCCUCGUCAAUGUGAGACUUUCUCCUUUUUGUCUUCUUCACACAAUCACCAUCAUCAUAUUCUAUUCCACCCAUAGUGCUAUAUCCAUGGCUCACGCUCAUGUAUUGCGUGAAGGUUGGAAAAGUUUGAGAUUAUUUAAGUAUGAAACAAUUGCUUGGCUUGUCAUCGGGGGUAUAGAAGUUGGGAACAUCUUUGUGUGACGAAAAUGAAGCAUAGCCUAACUAUAUGAUUUUGUAGGGAUGAACUUUCUUUUGCCAUGUUAUUUUGAGAAGACAUGAUUGCUUUGAUUAGUAUGCUUGAAGUAUUAUUAUUUUUGUGUCAAUAUGAACUUUUGUCUUGAAUCUUUCGGAUCUGAAUAUUCAUAUCACAAUUAAGAAGAUUUACAUUGAAAUUAUGCCAAAGUAUCACUCCGCAUCAAAAAUUCUUUUUUUAUCAUUUACCUACUCGAGGACGAGCGGGAAUUAAGCUUAGGGAUGCCUGAUACGUCUCCAACGUAUCUAUAAUUUUUGAUUGCUCCAUGCUACUUUAUCUACUAUUGUGGACUAUAUUGGGCUUUAUUUUCCACUUCUAUAUUACUUUUAGGACUAACCUAUUAACCGGAGGCCCAGCCCAGAAUUGUUGUUUUUUGCCUUUUUUAGUAUUUCGAAGAAACAAAAUAUCAAACGGAGUCCAAACGGAAUGAAACCUUCGGGAUCGUGAUUUUCCAACCGAACGUGAUCCAGGAGACUUGGACCCUACUCCAAGAAGUGUCCCAGGAGGUCACGAGGGUGGAGGGCGCCCCCCCUGGGCACGCCCCCCUACCUCGUGGGCCGCUCGGAGCUCCACCGACGUACUCCUUCCUCCUAUAUAUACCUACGUAUCCCCGAACGAUCAGAACAGGAGCCAAAAACCUAAUUCCACCGCCGCAACUUUCUGUAUCCAUGAGAUCACAUCUUGGGUCUAUUCCGGAGCUCCGCCGGAGGGGGCAUCCACCACGGAGGUCUUCUACAUCAUCACCAUAGCCCCUCCGAUGAAGUGUGAGUAGUUUACUUCAGACCUUCGGGUCCAUAGCUAGUAGCUAGAUGGCUUCUUCUCUCUUUUUGGAUCUCAAUACAAUGUUCUCCCCCUCUCUCAUGGAGAUCUAUUCGAUGUAAUCUUCUUUUUGUGGUGUGUUUGUUGAGACCGAUGAAUCGUGGGUUUAUGAUCCAGUAUUAUCUAUGGAAAAUAUUUGAUUCUUCUCUGAAUUCUUUUAUGUAUGAUUGAGUUAUCUUUGCAAGUCUCUUCGAAUUAUCUUUUUGGUUUGGCCAACUAGAUUGGUAGUUCUUGCAAUGGGAGAAGUGCUUAGCUUUGGGUUCAAUCUUGCGGUGUCCUUACUCAGUGACAGAAAGAGUUGCAAGGCACGUCUUGUAUUGUUGCAUUCGAGGAUAACAAGAUGGGGUUUUUAUCAUAUUGCAUGAAUUUAUCCCUCUACAUCAUGUCAUCUUGCUUACGGCAUUAUUCUGUUUUUACUUAAUACUCUAGAUGCAUGCUGGAUAGCGGUCGAUGAGUGGAGUAAUAGUAGUAGAUGUAGAAUCGUUUCGAUCUACUUGUUUUGGACGUGAUGCCUAUAUACAUGAUCAUCGCCUAGAUAUACUCAUAACUAUGCUCAAUUCUGUCAAUUGCUCAACAGUAAUUUGUUCACUCACCGUAGAAUACUUAUGCUCUCGAGAAAAGCCACUAGUGAAACCUAUGGCCCCCGGGUCUAUUCUCAUCAUAUCAAUCUAUAUCACUUUAUUUACUUGCUUUGUUUUUACUUUGCCUUUACUUUUUACUUUGCAUCUAUCUAUCAAAAAUACAAAAAAUAUUAUCUCUAUUAGAUCUCACUCUCGUAAGUGACCGUGAAGGGAUUGAAAACCCCUAAGCGUUGGUUGCGAGUUGCUAUCGUUUUGUGUAGGUACGAGGGACUUGUGCGUAUUCUCCUACUGCAUUGAUACCUUGGUUCUCAAAAACUGAGGGAAAUACUUACGCUACUUUACUGCAUCAUCCUCUCCUCUUCGGGGAAAUCCAACGCAGUGCUCAAGAGGUAUCACUUAACGCGGUUGAUGUAGUAGAACAUCUUCUUGAUUCAACCGAUCAAGCACUGAAUGUACGACACCUCCUAGUUCUGCACAUGUUCAGCUCUAUGACGUCCCUCGAACUCUUGAUCCAGUAGAGGUACGAAGGAUUAGAUGAGUUCCGUCAGCACGACGGCGUGAUGACGGUGAUGGUGAUGUGAUUCGUGCAGGGCUUCGCCUAAGCACUACGACAAUAUGACCGUGGGAGUAAACGGCGGAGGGGGGCACCACACAUGGCUAAGACAAUUGAUGUCCUAAGAGCUGCCCCCACCCCCGUAUAUAAAGGAGGGAGAGGGGAGGAGGCCGGCCUAGGGCGCGCCAAGUGGGGAGGAGUCCCACUUGGACUCCUAGUGGGAUUUGGCCCCCCUUUUCCUUCUACCAGAGGGGGGAAAGGUGGAAGGAAAGGGAGGGGGAGAAGGAAAGGGGGUGCCACCCCCUUCCCUAGUCCAGUUCGGCGUCCUCCCUUGUGGGGGGUGCACCAGCCCCUUGUGGGCUGGUUAGCCUCGCCCAUAUGGCCCAUAUCUUCCAUCGGGGGUUCCGGCAACCCCUCCGACACUCCGGUAUGUACCUGAUACACUCAGGAACCCUUCCGGUGUCUGAAUACUACCUUCCAAUAUAUCAAUCUUUACCUCUCGACCAUUUCAAGACUGCUCGUCAUGUACGUGAUCUCAUCCGAGACUCCGAACAACCUUCGGUCACCAAAACAGAUAACUCAUAUAAUACUUAUCGUCAUCGAACGUUAAGCAUGCGGACCCUACGGAUUCGAGAACUAUGUAGACAUGACCAAGACACCUCUCGGGUCAAUAACCAAUAGCGGAACCUGGAUGCUCAUAUUGGUUCCCACAUAUUCUACGAAGAUCUUUAUCGAUCGAACCGCAAUGUCAACAUACGUUACUCCCUUUGUCAUGGGUAUGUUACUUGCCCGAGAUUCGAUCGUCGGUAUCUUCAUACCUAGUUCAAUCUCGUUACCAGCAAUUCCCUUUACUCAUUCCGUAAUGCAUUAUCCCGCAACUAACUCAUUAGUCACAUUGCUUGCAAGGCUUCAUAUGAUGUAGAUUACCGAGAGGGCCCAGAGAUACCUCUCCGAUACUCCGAGUGACAAAUCCUAAUCUCGAUCUAUGCCAACCCAACAAACACCUUCGGAGAUACCUGUAGAGCAUCUUUAUAAUCACUCAGUUACAUUGUGACGUUUGAUAGCACAAAAGCCAUUCCUCCGGUGUCCGAGAGUUGCAUAAUCUCAUAGUCGGAGGAAUAUAUAUAUAUAUAUAUAUAUAUAUAUAUAUAUAUAUAUAUAUAUAUAUAUAUAUAUAUAUAUAGAAGAAAGCAGUAGCAAUAAAACUGAACGAUUAUUAUGCUAAGCUAACGGAAGGGUCUUGUCCAUCACAUCAGUCUCCUAAUGAUGUGAUCCCGUUCAUCAAAUGACAAGACAUAUCCAUGGCUAGGAAACUUAACCAUCUUUGAUUAACGAGCUAGUCUAGUAUAGGCAUACUAGGGACACAGUGUUUUGUCUAUGUAUUCAGACAUGUAUCAAGUUUCCGGUUAAUACAAUUCUAGCAUGAAUAAUAGACAUUUAUCAUGACUCUAGAAAAUAUAAAAUAACAACUUUAUUAUUGCCUCUAGGGCAUAUUUCCUUCAGUUCAACCUUCUUUAGGAGACAUCUAUUUCUCAAUUGACUAUAAGUUGACUCAAAACGGUUUUGUAAAUUUAUAUAUGAAUGCCAGAAAACAAUUCACAAGUUUCUUCAUACUGAAUAGUAUUGAGUGUGGUGUCAUAGUUUGUUCACAUUAGUUCAAAAAUGCACUAGUACUCCAGAGUUCAAAAAAUCACGGAAUCUUGCAUGGAUCUCAAGUUGGUUCACCAAUUAUGUCUAUUGAGGGUUAUGAAAUUCUAAGACUAUGGAGAAUUAGGAAAAAUCACUUUUUAAAUUACAAAAACUUAAAUCGAGAUUUGUAUAAUUUCAUUGAGUUGCAUAGUCGAUCCAAAAUCAGUUUGUAUAAUUUAUUGUAAGUUUCCAUAUCUUACUAGCACAAGGUUUUGGCACAUGAAAGUACAUUGUAUCCAUCAUUUCCAUAGCAUUCACCAUACGCAACAACACGAUAUAUUAAGGUGGCAGUAACUUUCUUCAAAUCUGUAACCACACCAUUCACAGCUAAUCUUGCACAUAGCAACAUUGUUGGGCGUUGGUGUCUGGCAUGCUCAGAAAACCGAACAUGAAGUCCACAAUCCAGUUGUACCUACGAACAACAAAGUAUAGCAUCCCCGUUCAUAUUAGGAUAUGCAGUAUAAAUUGCAUAAAUUCAGAUUAUAUGAGUAUCCAAGUUGUGAGCAUACAUCAUACAUAAUUAGACUAUUAUAAACAUAAACAAAGAGUGUACCUUGGUUUCUCGCAGUUGCUUCACAUGACCAUAAAGUGCUAGACAUCAUCAGAAGAACUACCAAACAUAGAGCAUGUAUGUUGUUCUUCAUAUGUUCCAUGAGGACUGGUUUCUUAAUUCUUUUCCUCCUAUCCCUAUAUUCUUUA
rnacentral:lncRNA from 1 species